AUAAACACGGUUCCCUGAACCAGCACCACCACCUCCACCAUAUCCUCCACCGGAGCUUCCAAAGCUGCUUCUAGGUCCUCUUGAGAAGGAGUCUUCCCUCUUCGGUGGAGGAGGACCCGCGUUAACUCUCAACGGUCUACCAUCCAACUCCUGCAAACAAAACCCAAUAAGAACAACAAAACAACACAAAGGUUCCAACUUUUUGUCUUUAGCAACCACAAGUUUUUGUCUUUAGCAACACAAAGGUUCCGACAUAAGUAUGUUCUUACAUAGCCAUUGAACUGCUGUUCAGCUGUCUGAACCUCAGAGGCUGAAGACAUAGUCACAAACCCAAAACCUCUGCUUCUCCCUGUCACCUUGUCAUAGAUUACCUAAACAAAGACAACAAAACGAACAAUCACUAAAACCAAUCUCAAACAACAACAACAACAAAAAAGAUUCAAUCUUUAUCUCAUUUCUCGAAAACCCACAACUCAAUUUUGAGUUUUUGACCCGUUACCUCAACCAUCUCGACGUUUCCGGCGCUCUCGAAGAGCUGAGCGAGCUGAGCGCUGUCGACGUUAAAGGGGAGGUUACCGACGAAGAGCUUGAGGUCAGAAGAGAAGGAUUGCUCCCGCCGCGGGGGAGGAGGAGCGUCGUCGUCAGCGAAGAUGCCGUCUUCUUCGACUGAGAAGUCGUCAGUAACCGCGACGUUACGGACGAAGCGAGAGGAAGCGGCGGAGAUGGAGAGGGAGAGGGAGGCGGAGAGGGAGUGGAGAUUGAAGGAGAGGGAAGGAGGUGAGAGGGAAGCGGAGGCGGGUCUGGAGAUGGAGAAAGGAAGGGACUUGGGGGUGAAGGUGGAGAGAGCGAGAGAGGAAGCUGAAGCAGCCAUGGUGAAGAGAUGAGAAGAGAUAAGGUUUGUUUUUAGCUUUAGGGGUUUUUUGAGAGUGGAGAUAAGAUGGUGUGUUUCUGAUAUUUAUGGGCCAAAUGGGAAUAAAUAUCUUUGCACAAAAUAUCUCAUUCUGAUUUUUAUUUACAAAAUUUGCCUCAAAACUUUAUUUUAUUGCUAAAUAUUCUGCUGCUAAUAAAAUUUGUCAAAUUUUGAUGAAUUUAUCUUAACGUCAUCUCUAAAAAAAGUAUGUAUUUAAAAAAAAUAUAGGUUUUCAUAAAUUUGUACACAAUUUUUUUAGAAAAUCUUAAUUUUCAAAAUAUUUUGUAUUUUCUCACUUUAGUGGUGUUAUCUUUAGUGAGAUGACAGAUGAGAUGAGAUCUAAGCCGUAGAGUUUUGGAUGGACAGUGGAGAUGGCACGUCUCAUGCCAAGGCCCCAAAAAUAUAAAAAAUCUAUAAGAUAGGAUAUUUUAACUAAAAGCCAAUGGAAUUAACAACUCUCGUUCCAGCACAGAUCUUUAACUCCAAUAAAUUCAGAAAACAAUACAGUUCCUUUAAAGAAAACCACUGAAUCAUACAAAGGUUGCUCCAUUCAAAACAAGUUAAUAAGAAACUAUUUAUUUGGAUAACAAUAGAAGACUGAAGUUCUUGAACUGCAAAACGCUUUUAGGAUCUCUUCAAUUGGAGGGUCAUCUCCAGCUUCUUUGUCCUGAAACGUUCCAACAAACAAGUUGUUGAGUACGAGAUUGUGAUUAAUUUACCCCUUUGAUUACAUUGACAUGGUGUAAACACAAGUAUUUGAUCAAAACGUGUUACCUGGUCCAUACUCCCCGGUCCGAUCAAAACAUGAGAAACACCAGAUGCAUCCAUCACAUGCUAAGAAAACCUCAAAUGUAUCACUUAAUGAAAUGAUCAAAACCACAUCAAGAUUUUGACAUUGUUGUUUUUACUCCGGGAAAGCCGAAAGAAAUAAGAAAAAUCCUAACUUUAAGUUUUAGUUAGAAAAAAAAAUCAAAUUAAAAAAAUCUCGUGGAGUGGAGUUAUUACACGUUGCAUAGAUGACGUAAGCAUUGUCCGAAACAGAAAAAGUCAAACGCCACGUAAGCUCAGUAAGGGUAAAAAGUUUUGGAAAGGUAGAUCCUUUUCUAAAAGCGAAUGUUCCUUCUUUGCACGUUCAAGCGAUCUCAAGCCGCUCCUCUCUCUCUCUCUCUAUCAUCUCUGAAAUGGCGAGAGUACUGCGUGUGGCGAGAUCCUCCUCCUCCCUCUUCAGCUUCGGAAGCAGAUCUUAUUCAGCCGAAGCUAGCCACGUGUCCUCUCCCCCUCCUCCGUUUCUUGGAGCUCGCAGAGACGUUACCAAGGAGAGAAACGUGCAGUGGGUGUUCCUCGGUUGUCCCGGUGUCGGGAAGGGGACUUACGCCAGCAGACUCUCGAGUCUCCUCGGUGUUCCUCACAUCGCCACCGGAGAUCUCGUCCGUGAUGCGCUAGCUUCUUCCGGACCUCUCUCCCGACAGGUUCUUGUUUCACUUUAUGUCCAAAUGAAUCCCAAAACGACGUCGUUUUCUGUUUAAAUCUGCUAAAAGUUCAUGUGUCUACCAACAGAUCUAAUGAACUAGUGUUUGUUUUGUCCUAACGGAUCUGAUCCUUUUUCUAAUAAUAGUCAACGGCUCUCUCCUCUUGCUUGUAUUGAGAUUCUUAUUACUUGAUUGCAGCUAUCAGAGAUUGUAAACCAGGGGAAGCUUGUUUCUGAUGAGAUCAUAGUGAACUUAUUAUCAAAGAGACUUGAAGCUGGUGAAGCCAAGGGCGAAUCAGGUUUCAUUCUUGAUGGCUUUCCUCGUACCAUGAGACAAGCUGUAAGUUAAUUCAUUGACUUCACAUCAUAUUGAGCAAAGUUUUGAAUGAUUAAUCUUUGUGUUUUCAGGAAAUAUUAGGAGAUGUCACUGACAUCGAUCUAGUGGUGAACUUAAAGCUACCUGAGGAGGUUUUGGUUGACAAAUGCUUAGGGAGGAGAACGUGUAAUCAAUGCGGUAAAGGUUUCAAUAUAGCUCACAUCAACUUAAAGGGUGAGAAUGGGAAACCAGGAAUCAGCAUGGAUCCACUUCUCCCUCCACCUCAGUGUAUGUCAAAGCUCAUCACUCGUGCUGAUGAUACUGAGGAGGUUGUGAAAGCUAGGCUCCGUAUUUACAAUGAAACCGUAAGUCCUCUUUCUCUCUCUCUAUUGUUCUUCCCAUUUUAGCGAUGCUUGAUGCUUUGAAUGAUGUGUGCAGAGCCAGCCUCUUGAAGAGUACUACCGUAUCAAGGGAAAGCUGAUGGAGUUUGACUUACCUGGAGGCAUCCCUGAGUCUUGGCCAAGGCUGUUAGAAGCUUUAAGGCUUGAUGAUUACGAGGAGAAGCAAUCUGCCGCGGCGUAGUUCAACUACAACUCCGGUUUAUAAUUCUUUGCAUGUGGAAGACAUGUGCCUAUAUCAGUUUUGUGUUGGAAAAUAAAGAAAACCUUAGAUUGUUUUUUUUUAUUGCCUCAGAUCAGAAUAAUCAUCAUCAUACACACUUUGCAAACUAUAUGAUGUAUCAUGAUUGUUUAUGAGUUUGCUAGUUACAGGAAUGUAUAAACACUUUGGUACACUUUUGAUUAUUUAUUGUUGAAUGUGAUCAAUGAUUGUUUAUGAGUUUGCUAGUUACAUUACAUGAAUGUAUCAAUACUUACACUGCUUGUUACACAUCAGGUUUGAUGUUUGGGCUCUUGUGAUUAGUUUGUUUAUUGUUGAAUGUGUGUGAUAAUAUUGCGGCUGGCCGAGCUGGCUGGUUAAAGAACACAACCAGACAGUAAAGUAAAACAGUCGCAUACAUUAAAGAUUUUGUGGAACGUAUAACCAGCUCCUGUCUGUCCUAGAAUUGGCGGUUCGGGAUAGAACUGUUCCUUACAUACUGGAACUUCCAGUAGAAUUUGAUGCUAAUUGUUGGUCCUAAACUAGUGUGUAUCAGUUGCUAUGUGAUCUCAUAACUGGACCUUAUCUUAUGGUUUGUGCUUGAGGUUUCUGAGAAAUCGCUGGGUUCAUUUGAUUCUUCUGGUUUGACAAUUAGUUUCUUGUUAUGGACACGGUGAAAUCAGACUCAAAUCGGUGGAAUAAGACAGCCUCAAAGAAGGCAGACAUAAUCAUGUUUGCUCUUGAUUCAUCUUCAAUCUCAACAGGACAUUAAAAUCAAUUUGUAGCUUUAUUUUGUUAGUAUAUAGAUUUGAUGAAAUAAACAACCUUUAAAUUAUAAAUAUAAAGAUGAAAAUAUUCUUAAACAUGAAACCGUUUUGAUCAAGAUUCAAAAAAAACUUCAUUAAAAGAUAGGGACAUCUUCUGAAACAUAUCCAAAAAGCUCUAAUGAAAAACAGCAAGAUAAGGUCUUUGAGAUGUAAUGCAAACUCAAGGCCUAGGAAGAUCCUCCUUAACGGUUGGCCUUCGCAACUCUCUCAAUCUCAUCCUUCUUCUUGAUGGCAUAGCUGCAAAAAAACAAGACAAGAUGCUAUUAGUAUUUAGCAACAAACAAACACAAUUUGUGAACCCGCUUUAAGAGACAAGACAAUGUAAAGAUGUUUACCUGUUGGAAGAUCCCUUGGCAGCAUUGAUGAGCUCAUCAGCAAGGCACUCAGCGAUUGUCUUGAUGUUUCUAAACGCAGCUUCACGUGCACCAGUGGUGAGCAAGAAGAUGGCUUGGUUCACACGUCUUAGAGGAGAGAUAUCAACAGCCUGCCUCCUAACCACACCAGCAGAUCCAAUCCUCGUCGCAUCCUCACGUGGACCACUAGCUCACCAAUAAAACACACACAACAUUAGAAAAAAAGGUUUCUAGUAACACGCAAUAAAGAAUGCAACAUUGUUGUCUUACCUGUUGACAAUGGCAUCAAUGAUAACCUGAAUAGGGUUCAAGUCAGUCAAGAGAUGGAUGAUCUCCAUGGCGUGCUUGAUGAUCCUCACAGCCAUCAGCUUCUUUCCGUUGUUCCUUCCGUGCAUCAUGAGAGAGUUCGUGAGCCUCUCAACGAUUGGGCACUGAGCCUUCCUGAACCUCUUCACAGAGUAUCUUCCAGCAGUGUGGGGGACAAAGGUCGCGUGCUUAGCAGGCUGAACACCAAUGUAGUCAACAAGACUAAUGUCUGUGACCUACCCAUUCACAAAAAAAAAAAACACAAGAUCAACAAAACAAAUACUAAGAACAUAGCCAUUGUUGCCAAUUUAAAUUUUAGAGAUCUAAUAUUCAAAAACAAACCAAACAACACAGAAAGUGUUGGACUUUAAGACAAAGAAACAUCAGGAUCAACCAAGUGUACUGAGACAAUAAAACAUGAAUUGAAAAUUAACAAAAAUAAAAACAAAAAGAGGACAUUUUUUCCGACAUAACUCCAUGAGUUAUAUCUAAUUCAGACAAUGUAACUAUUUUUUUGUAAUAGACCAAUCAUUUCAUUGUAGAAUUAGAUCCUAUAAAGAUUGCAAAUGAGCUAUCGUAAACUUACCGAAACGUCAUCAAAGCUCCAGCGAUUGAAGAGCUUGACCUCGUUGGUAAGCUGCUGCUGAAUCUCAGCGUCAAUCUCAACGGCGGCGGCCAUGGCUGGAAACACCAAACAAAAGCUUAGCCACAAGCACACACGCAAACCAGAGAAUCGAAGAUGAAGAAGAAAUCAAUACCUCAAACUCGUAAGCGUCGUGNNNNNNNNNNNNNNNNNNNNNNNNNNNNNNNNNNNNNNNNNNNNNNNNNNNNNNGCGUCGUGUGGAGAUGAGACGGGACUAGGUUUAGCUGCAGCUACUGCUUGAAGAAGGUGGUGAGAAGAAACAAAAACCCUAAUUUUACUAGAGUAUAGGGUUUUUAAAAUGGAUUUUAUUGGGCCCAAUGGGCUUUUCGUAAGGCCCAGUCCAAGUCGUUAUACCAUAAGUCUUUAGAGCAUACUAGAAAGAGAGCAUUCAAUGCGGGAUGUCGACUUGCUAGCUCUCGUCCAUGCACCGUCCGUCGCCAUCAAUCCGUGAGUUUUUAUCGGUUUUUGUUCAAUGACUCCAACGAACUUUGAAAGAUUUGCCCACUCUUCCUUGCAAAUUAAUCACGAGAUCAUCGCCUUGUACUUGUUACUCCAUUUUGUCGUAUUAUCAUAUUUACUUGUUACUCCAUAUUGUCGUAUUAUCAUAUUUUUAUAAGAUAUUCACUAACAGUAACAGAUAAGUCAUUCUUAUCCUAAAGUCAUUUUAAUUCAGAGACGACAAAAUUUAGGAAAAAUAAAUUCUAGAUGAUUUAUCGAAAAAUAUUUGUGUGUAAUGUUAUAGUCAGUUAACUUAAUUCGUUUGCAAUUUCUAGGAAUAAAAAUAUGACAGUCUAAUUCGUUAAAUUAGUAUACUUUCCCAAAAAGACAAAUAAUACAAGCUGAUCUUGAAGAAUCAAUAAAUUAAUGUGAAAAUGAUAGACAAUGAACGUGAAGAUUGCUUGAGAUAUGAUAAGAUACUUUCAAUGCUCCCGACAAGAAAAGCAUUAAUUUGGACUCGUUGAUGCAUGGGGUAGAUAAGAGUGGACAGGGGAGCUUGCAGAGAUUGGAAACAAGUAUGGGGGAUCGAGUUUCAAGAGCAUCUCCUCAAGAAAUGAACAUGAGGAUGAGAACAUUUCUCGUCGACACACAAACUGCUAAGAUAAACUAUUGUGGUAAGAUAGAAUAUAUGUACCACAUCAAUGUCCUAGCUAAGAAUAGAUACCACAGCAAUGUUCUAGCAAAGCAAUAUUGUCGAAAGUUUGUUCAUCUAUAAUUUUCUUUUCCUUUUAAUUAAUUAAGAUGGGUGCAAUUUUUGCCUAGCAACACUAGAAUAUAGAAUAUGGACCACUUAUGUAAUUUAAGCAUGCAUAAUGGCACACUAUAAGUACUAGCUUUUAAAUAAAUAAAGUGAUCCUUCAAUUAAUUAGGUAUUUCAUAUUCUCAAAGUAAGUUAGGUAAUAAUACUUUAAUUUCCACACUUUCUUGACCCAAUAAAACUCCCCAAUAUAUUAUUUGUAGUCUACUUUUUUUUAUUAAAUUUGUAGAUAUUGUUAGAGGAAUAUAGUAUGUUUUCUUUUGAAUUAUUAUCUCUUUUUAUUUAUUUUUAUUUCAAAUAAUAAGUUUGUUUAUUUUUAAGAAGAAUAUCCUACCUCUAGUCAAUUCAAAUUGUUUGUUUCCGACCAUAUUCCAAUCAUGGUAAAUUACCCAAAAAGAACACAAAAUAAUGACGUUGAGACACUCUCAAAAGUUAGCACGUAACAAUUGUAGUAGUGAAAAGACGUCUAAGCAUAUUAAAUAUAUUUACACUUUGAAGACAAAUGCAUAUCUCAUUAUUGACUAUUCAUCAGAUAAGAAGCCAAGAGAGUACUCACUGAGACAUGAGUGGUGAUGAUUUGAGAAUGGAGCUUGCAGAGAUUGGAAAAAGCAUGGGGUCGAGUUUCAGGAGCAGCUCCUCAAGAAACGAGGAUGAGGCAGAGCAUGCUCUGCAGUGGGCUGAGAUCCAAAGAUUACCUAGUUUCAAACAACUGAGAUCAUCUCUGGUCGAUGAAGAAGGGGAUGAUGUGGAGAAAGGGAAAAGGGUCGUUGAUGUCACCAAGCUUGGAGCCAUGGAACGUCGUCUGAUGAUUGAGAAGCUGAUCAAACACAUUGAGAAUGACAAUCUCAAGCUGCUCAAGAAAAUUAGAAGAAGAAUAGACAGGUAUAUGUGAAAACAAAGAAACAAACCUUGUGAAUCUUGAACUGAGUUGUUACUUUGCAGGGUUGGUGUGGAGCUUCCAAGCAUAGAGGUGAGGUAUAAGCAUCUAAGUGUUGAAGCAGAAUGUGAGGUCGUUGAAGGGAAGGCGCUUCCAACUUUAUGGAAUUCUUUGAAGCACAUUUUCUUAGUGAGUAUACUUGAGAAUAUAAUGCAUUUUGCCAGUAGGUAGUAAAUUGUUGUGAACAAACGCGAAUUAACUUCAAAGAAAACAAAAAAAACUUGAAAAGAACAAAGCACGAUUGAGGCAAAUAUCAUUUUAAAAUUUGUAUAUUGAUUAUGUGAAUAAUUAAAUCUACAACAACUUAGACAGUUGUUAACAUAACUAGUAUUGAACUAUACUUUUUUCUUCUUUAGGAGUUGGUAAAGCUGAGUGGUGUAAGAACACAUGAAGCCAAGAUAAGCAUACUUAACGAUGUUAGCGGCAACAUUAACCCUGGAAGGUAGCUUUUGAUCCAAGCUUUGAGUUAGUGUGUAAUGCACGCAACUAAUGCUCUCUUCUUGUUGCUCCAAGGUUAACACUGCUGCUUGGUCCUCCUGGAUGUGGAAAAACUACUCUGCUCAAGGCUUUGUCCGGAAACUUGGACAAGAAUCUAAAGGUUUUCAGACUUUGUUUCAAUCUGAUUCUCAUGAUGCAGAUGUGUAAACCACAGAACUCUUUUGUUUUCCACAGAUUUCUGGUGAAAUCUCUUACAAUGGACACGGUCUAAACGAGUUUGUUCCUCAGAAGACAUCCGCUUACAUAAGCCAACACGAUCUGCACAUUGCGGAGAUGACUGUUAGGGAGACAAUAGACUUCUCAGCUCGUUGUCAAGGUGUUGGUAGUCGAACAGGUAAGAUGUCUUCUGAAGCAUCCGCUAAACUAUUUGCUGAAACAGAUAUAUCAAUUUUCUCUGUACCAAUGUUCAAAAAGUUGUUUGGCUAUAACUAUGCAUUUUAUAGAGGACUACCGAUUAGAUUGAUUAUUCGGGGCAGUGCUAACGAAAUAUUGAUUUGUUUUAUAUAUUUUUUACAUUUUUAUAUGAUAUUUUUUGGCUUUAAUUAUAAAACUAUUUUGAUGAAUUGUAAAAAUUAAAUAUACAAAAUAAAACAAAUUAGAAAAAUCUGUGGAUUUGCACUAACAUAAUUGGUUAAUUUAGAUUGAUUUAAACCAAUUUUAACUGAUUUAGAACAAUUCAAACCGAUUUGAAUCAUGCUCUAUACUAUUGGCUGAAACAGAUAUUAUGAUGGAGGUCAGUAAAAGAGAAAAGGAUGGUGGAAUCAUUCCUGACCCUGACGUAGAUGCUUACAUGAAGGUCCCAUUCCAUAAGCUAAUCUUUUAAGAGGGAUGAUUAUAAAACCUUUUGUUAAUCCCAUUGUGCAGGCUAUAUCGGUUAAUGGACUUAAAAGAAGUCUACAAACAGAUUACAUCUUGAAGGUAAUUUCUCUGACAACAACUCAGACUUGUAAUCCUUGUUGAUUAGCUUCUUGAUUAUGUCAUGUAUUUGCAAUUUGCAUUUCUUUUUCUUCAGAUCCUAGGGCUUGACAUAUGUGCAGAAACAUUGGUUGGUAAUGCCAUGAAAAGAGGCAUAUCUGGUGGUCAAAAGAAGCGUCUUACUACAGGAGAGAUGAUCGUUGGUCCAACAAAAGCUCUGUUUAUGGAUGAAAUCACAAACGGCUUAGACAGCUCCACAGCGUUUCAGAUAGUUAAGUCACUUCAGCAGCUGGCUCACAUCACCGACGCAACUGUGUUUGUUUCCCUUCUUCAGCCUGCUCCAGAGUCAUAUGAUCUCUUUGACGAUAUUGUCUUGAUGGCUGAAGGAAAAAUAGUUUAUCAUGGUCCAAGAGGCGAGGUCUUGAGGUUCUUUGAAGAGUGUGGGUUUAGAUGCCCAGAGAGGAAAGGUGUUGCAGACUUUCUACAAGAGGUAAGAAGCCAAGUUUAUGUUCCUUGACACUUACGUUUUGUUCUGAGUUGUUUUUGUUUUGCAGGUUAUAUCUAGGAAGGACCAAGGACAGUACUGGCUGCACCAGGACAUACCCUAUACCUUUCUCUCAGUAGACGCGUUGUCCAGGAGAUUCAAGGAGUUAGAGAUUGGGAGAAAGAUUGAGGAUGCUCUCUCUAAGCCCUAUGAUAAUUCAAAAACCCACAAGGAUGCUCUCUCUUUCAGUGACUAUUCUCUUCCAAAGUGGGAGCUGUUCAGAGCAUGCAUCUCAAGAGAGUUUCUAUUAAUGAAGAGAAACUCUUUCGUCUACCUCUUCAAGACGUUUCAGGUUACAUUCUUCGUUCCUUGUGUCUUCUUUCAAUGUUCUAGGGUUAGGUCUAAAGAAACCCUUCUUGCCCUUUAUGUUUUGCAGCUUGUUCUGUCAGCAAUCCUCACUAUGACAGUUUUUAUUAGAACACGUAUGGGUGUAGAUAUCAUUCAUGGAAACUCUUACAUGAGUUGUCUCUUUUUCGCAACCGUUGUGCUUUUGGUGGAUGGUUUGCCAGAGCUGUCUAUGACUGUUCAACGUCUUGCCGUGUUCUACAAGCAAAAGCAACUUUGUUUCUAUCCAGCUUGGGCUUAUGCAAUCCCUGCAACCGUGUUAAAGAUCCCUCUCUCUUUCUUCGAAUCUCUCGUUUGGACUUGCCUUACUUACUACGUCAUUGGAUACACUCCUGAAGUCUCUAGGUAAGAAGAACUCUAUAACCAUCUCUUGCUUGCUCCCUACUCAAACGAUUAUGGAAAGUAAUGGUUACUUGGUGUUUUUAGGUUCUUACGUCAGUUCAUGAUGCUCUUUGCUGUUCACUUCACAUCCAUAUCCAUAUUCCGAUGUAUAGCUGCAAUCUUUCAGACAGGAGUUGCUUCAAUGGCAGCUGGUAGUUUCGCCGUAUUAAUCACCUUUGUGUUCGCCGGUUUCGCCAUCCCAUACAGUAAGACUUUUGCACUCUUUCUUCAUUUCAGUCUUGUUCCAAACUUCCAUCAAAACAUGACCAGGGCCGGAUCUAGGCACAGCCCAAUAAAACAUCGGUCUCGGUCCCUAAAUUUUUUGAAAUUUUUAGUACGAAUAAACCCCUAAACUAUAGAAAAAAAAAAUUGUUUUACUAAGAUUUUUAAAUGUUUCAAGCUCCCAAAAUCUCAUAUCCGGCCCUGAACGUGACAUUGGUUUUGUUGCUGCAGCUGAUAUGCCAGGGUGGCUGAAAUGGGGAUUCUGGGUGAAUCCUAUAGGUUACGCAGAGAUUGGGCUCUCUGUAAACGAGUUUCUUGCUCCGAGAUGGCAGCAAGUAAGUAUCUCAUCUUUUUACAUACUUCUCUUCAUCAUUCUUACAAGACUAAUCAAGUUUUUCUUGUUAUGUUUUGUAGAUGCAACCAACGAAUGUUACAUUGGGGAGAACCAUACUUGAAAGCAGAGGACUGAACUAUGAUGAUUACAUGUACUGGGUCUCAUUAUGUGCCUUGCUGGGACAGACUCUCCUCUUCAAUACUAUUUUCACUCUAGCUUUGAGUUUCUUGAAAUGUAAGUUACAAAAUAUCGAAAAAUAUGCCAUGGACUAAAGCAUAAACUGAAGAGCUUCUUUUUUAACAGCUCCCACUACAUCUCGCGCUAUGAUCUCCAAAGACAAGCUCUCUGAGCUGCAAGGAACAAAAGAUUCAUCACUCAAUAAGAACAAGAAGGCAAUAGAUUACACAGAAGAUUCAGGUGAAACAUAUAUGUCUUUCUUGUCAUACAAGCAAACUCUUUAUUCUCAGUUUAGCUUUAUUGACCUAAUUCAUUCAGCAGGGAAGAUGGCCUUACCUUUUAAGCCUCUCACCAUAACAUUUCAAGAUUUGAACUACUACGUUGACGUUCCUGCGGUAAAAUCUUCUCCUCCCCAUCCUUGGAUCUUAACCAUCUUCAUAUGCAAACAUGAUCAUCAAAGGACGUUUUGACUAAUCUUAGGAGAUGAGAGUUCAAGGAUACAAUGAGAAGAAACUGCAGCUUCUCUCAGAUAUCACCGGAGCUUUCAGACCAGGCGUUCUAACAGCGUUGAUGGGGAUCAGUGGAGCCGGAAAAACAACUCUACUCGACGUUCUCGCCGGAAGAAAAACAAGCGGAUACAUCGAAGGAGAGAUCAGAAUCAACGGAUACUUUAAAGUCCAAAAAACCUUCGCAAGAGUCUCAGGCUACUGCGAGCAAACAGAUAUACACUCACCAAACAUCACCGUCGAGGAGUCUCUAAUCUACUCAGCUUGGCUCCGUCUAGUUCCAGAAAUAGAUCACAAAACCAAAAUAGUAAGCCGGCCCUAGUGAUUCUAAAAAAGGCAAGAAUGACCUAGAAAGUAACUUGACUGAAAAGAAACUCGUUGCAGAGAUUCGUGAAGGAAGUUCUUGAGACGAUAGAGCUGGAGGAGAUCAAGGACGCGAUGGUGGGAGUCCCCGGCCAGAGCGGGCUGUCGACGGAGCAGAGGAAGAGGUUGACGGUGGCGGUGGAGUUGGUGGCGAAUCCUUCGAUCAUAUUCAUGGACGAGCCGACGACGGGGCUGGACGCAAGAGCAGCAGCCAUUGUGAUGAGAGCUGUGAAGAACGUUGCGGAGACUGGACGUACCAUUGUGUGCACUAUUCAUCAGCCUAGUAUCGAUAUUUUUGAAGCCUUCGACGAGGUACAUAUGUUUUUCAAAUAUGAAAAGUAUUUAUAGUGGUUUUGUUUUAAAAGAAUACUCUCACAUGUAUUAUAUUAACAUUUUAUCCAAAAGUAGAUAUAAGAGAUUUUUUUUCUUCAAAAUAGCCUUUAUCAAAAAUUUGAAAAUUAUAGAAUAAUUGAGUUUAGGGUUUAAAAGGGAUGGGUGAGAUUAGGUUUUAUAAAUUAAAGUAACUUAAUUUUUUUUAUUUAAAUGAGUGUGUUUUGAAGAUCUGUUAGUGUUAUAUUUGUGAUAAACUUUAAAAGUGCUAUUUUGGAGUUUUGACUAUUUUGUGGAUAAUUAAGAAGAAAUUUCUUAUAACAUAUUGUUUUUAUUACAUGUUCAGUUGGUACUUCUGAAGAGAGGAGGUCGCAUGAUUUACACUGGACCACUUGGACAACAUUCUUCUCAUGUCAUACAGUAUUUUGAGGUUAGCGUGUUAUACAAGAAAAUGAGCCAGUUUAGUUUCUAUGACUUUUUCAAUGUUUUAACGAAAUAAUUAACUAUGUAUAUUUUUGUUAUUUGGGGUUAAUGAACAGAGUAUCUCUGGAGUUGCUAAGAUUAAAGACAACUACAAUCCAGCAACAUGGAUGCUAGAGGUCACUUCACAGUCUGUAGAGAUUGAACUCAACAUGGAUUUUGCAAAAAUCUACAAAGAAUCUGCUCUCUACAAGUGAGCUGAAUAUCUCAAAAACAACUGAAACCUUGUCAUUUAUUACGAGCUCAUGUGUUUUCUCUGUAGCAGGAGCAACUAUGAGCUUGCUCAGGAGCUGAGCAAACCGGAUCCCGGGUCAAGCGAUUUACAUUUCGAGAGAACUUUUGCGCAGAGCUGGUGGGAACAGUUCAAAUCUUGUCUAUGGAAGAUGAGCUUGUCUUACUGGAGAAGCCCUGCUUACAACUUGAUGCGAAUCUUUCACACUUUAGUCUCUUCUUUGAUCUUUGGUUUACUCUUCUGGAAGCAAGGUCAAAAGAUGUAAGUUAGUUGCAUAAAAUACAUUCAAAUCAUCAUUAGAGCAUGUUCAUUAGUGAGACCCUUAAGUGUCUCUUAAGUGGGGUUUAAUAAUUUUUUAACUAUUAAAUUUAAUAUAAGAGAUUUUGUUAAGAAACACUUAAUUAUAGUGGUUUAUUGGUGGUUUCUUAAUUAAGGUGCUUAACAAAUAAAAAAAUAUUAAACUUUUUUUAAACAUAAAAUUUUAAACAAAGAUUAAUUUUAUUUAUUAAAUAAAACAAAGUCAAACAUAACAUUUUAAACAUAGAUUUUAAAAUAAAAAAAAUUAAAACAUUAAAACAAAGAUUACUAAAAUAAACAAUACUAAUUUUAAAGCGGCAUCCAAGUUCAGUUGUUGUGUUGAUCACGUCCAAAUUUAUGCCAUAUAUGUUCAACCAAAUCACCUUUCAGUUGUUGAUGCGCUUGUCUAUCACGAAUUCUUGUUCGAACACCCAUCUGAUUGGCGAUAUUUGUAGGGAUAUCUGUAGAAUAUGUUAAAUCUACAUAUGAACUUCUGCUGCCUUCGCCUUGUUGGAAUCCCGAGACAUCAAACUAACUGCAUUCAUCCCGUUCGUUUUCUACUAUCAUAUUAUGGAGUAUGAUACAUGCUCUCAUAAUCUUCCCAAUCUUGACUUUAUCCCAACAAAGUGCUGGAUUUUUAACAAUGGCAAAUCGAGCUUGCAAGACUCCGAAAGCACGCUCGACAUCUUUUCGGGCAGCUUCUUGAUGUUGAGCAAAUAAAACUGCUUUCGGCCCUUGUGGAAGUGAAAUAGAUUGGAUGAAAGUUGCCUAUUUCGGAUAAAUUCUAUCGAUCAGAUAGUAAGCCAAAUCAUACUCUUUUCCGUUGACUGAGAAAUUCACUUGCGGGGCUUGACCAUUUAUGAUGUCAUCAAAAACAGGUGAGCGAUCUAGAACAUUAAUAUCAUUUAAGGUACCUGGAGGUCCAAAAAACGUAUGCCAUAUCCAGAGAUCAUAUGAAGCAACCGCCUCUAAAACUAUUGUGGGUUUCCCCGAACCACGAGAAUAUUGCCCUUUCCAAGUGGUGGGACAAUUCUUCCACUCCCAAUGCAUACAAUCGAUGCUUCCUAUCAUCCCGGGAAAUCCACGAACCUCUCCAAUAUAAAGUAGACGUUGAAGGUCAUCCGGUGUUGGUCUUCUUAGGUACUCAUCGCCGAACAAAUUUAUGAUUGCUUCCACAAAAUUUUCCACACAUAACCGAACAGUGGUUGCACCGAGCCUGAGGUAUUCGUCGACCGCAUCAAGCGCAGAACCAUAUGCCAACACACGAAUAGCUGCUGUACACUUUUGAAGCGGGGAGAGACCUUGCCUUCCGGUAACAUCCUUCUUCUGACGAAAGAAUUGGACUUCGUUGGAGAGGCGAUCAACAAUAUACAUGAACAAAGGCUUGUUCAUUCUAAAUCGACGUCGGAAUAGAUUUGCUGGAUAUGUCGGCGCGUCACUGAAAUAAUCAUUCCAUAACCGGAGAUGGCCUUCUUCACGAUUUCUUUCAAUAAAAACUCUCUUUUUCUUUUUCUUCCUUUGAUCUUGUUGAUCACCAUAAACAUUGCACAAAUUCUCAAAUGUUUGUUCGAAAGUCUGAUCAAAAUAUUUAUCGAACAUUUCAUCAAAUGACUCAUCCAAAUCAAAUGACUCAUCCGAGAUGUGAUUUGAAGACGAAGCCAUGAAAGACUUGAUUUCGAAAAUUUAAGAAUGGUGAGUGUGUGAACGUGAGAUGAAAAAGAGAAGGAAGAGAGAACAAAGAGAACCGAGAGAAUGAGAACGUAGAGAAUUGUGAGUAUGAUCAGUUUUUAUUUUACAAAGAGAAUGAAGAACCGAGAGAAGAACAUGAGACUAUAGAGAUAGAGAAUGGUAAGAGAGAAUGGUGAUUUCUUUACGCUCUCAGCACAAACAUUUUAUAACCGUCACCGUUAGAGAGAGAGAGCUCGCCGUUGUCCAUCGUCGACGAGAGAAACCCAUAGAAACGUCGACAAGCUCAACGGAGAGGGAGAGAGAGGAAACGCCGUUUCGUCGACGAGAUCACCGAGACAGAGAGAGAGAGAGAGAGAGGAAUCACCUUUUCGUCGAGGAGAGCACCGACAGAGAGAGAAAGAGCUCGCCGUUGUCCAUCGUCGACGAGAGAAACCAAUAGAGACGUCGACGAGCUCAACGGAGAGGGAGAGAGAGGAAACGCUGUUUCGUCGACGAGAUCACCGAGACAGAGAGGGAGAGAGAGAGGAAUCGCCUUUUCGUCGAGGAGAGCACCGACAGAGAGAGAAAGAGCUCGCCGUUAUCCAUCGUCGACGAGGAAUAUCCAUAGAGACGUCGACGAGCUCAACGGAGAGGGAGAGAGGAAUCGCCGUUGUCGUCACUCUUGCGGAGCAACCGAGAAGAGAAAGGAAAGAGAGAAAGAAACAAGAACGACUUCACCGUUCGGAGAGCCAAUAACGACGUGACACGUCGCCCAAAUUACCGUGUCUUCGAGCACUUAAUUAGGGGACGUCCCUUGGCUUUAUUUCGUGUUUUCCAUUUUUUUUUAUGAUUAAUUAAGUUAAGGGACAUGCUUAAGAGCUGCCUUUGAACAUGCUCUUACAUUCCUAGUAAAGAACUGUCUCACACAUUAGGAAAGUACUAUUUUAUUUCAAAAAUAGCACACAAGAAUAUUUUUUUCCAAAAGAGUAUUAACUAAAAGUAUAUGGGUGUGGAUUUAGUGAUUAUGAUUUAGGGUUUAAUAUUUAGAGAGUGGAGUUAGGGUAAGAGUUUAGGAUACAGAGUAAUUUAGUCAAUUUAAUCUUUAACUAAUUAUAGUUUGAGAAUUUUUCUCUUAUGUUCUAUUUUUGUCAUAAUUGUUUGUAUUUUUUUUUUUUUGGCAGAGAUACUCAACAGAACUUGUUCACAGUUCUUGGAGCCAUCUAUGGCCUUGUGAUAUUCUUGGGGGUAAACAACUGCACUUCAGCUUUACAGUAUUUUGAGACAGAGCGUAACGUUAUGUACCGCGAAAGAUUCGCUGGAAUGUACUCUGCCUUUGCCUUUGCACUGGCUCAGGUUGUGACCGAGAUUCCUUACAUUUUCAUCCAAAGCGCAGAGUUUGUGAUCAUAAUAUAUCCUAUGAUGGGUUUAUACGGAUCUGCCUAUAAAGUCUUUUGGAGUCUCUACUCAAUGUUCUGCAACUUACUCUCCUUCAACUACUUAGCAUUGUUCCUCAUCUCCAUCACUCCAAACUUCAUGCUCGCAGCUAUUCUCCAGUCUCUUUUCUUCGUUGCUUUCAACCUUUUUGCUGGAUUCUUGAUUCCACUACCGGUAAGUUCUUUUUGUAACAAGUCAUUAUAUACCAUUAUCAUCAUCGUUGAUCUUUACCUAUAGUUAAUAGUGUUUUUCCUUGAUGUUGAAACAAUGCAGCAAAUACCAAAGUGGUGGGUGUGGCUUUACUAUCUAACACCUCCCUCUUGGAGUCUCAAUGUGUUUUUCUCGUCUCAGUACGGUGAUAUUCAUCAAGAGAUCAAUGCAUUUGGAGAAACCACGACCGUGGCGAGAUUCUUAGAGGACUAUUUUGGAUUCCAUUAUGAUCGUUUGAUGACUUCAGCCAUUAUUCUCAUAGCGUUUCCAGUUGCAUUGGCUUCUAUGUUUGCUUUCUUUGUUGCCAAACUCAACUUUCAGAAACGAUGAUCCAUCACACACCAACCAAAGGUUUGAAACACCAAAGGGUAGUUUACAAAUUACUGUAUGGACAUGCACGUAUUCGUUGUCACACUAUUUGUAAACACUAAACAAAUGCAAAAUUUAUUUAUAAAAUCAUAAGAAAGUUGGAUAUACUCUAAUGCAUCAAAAUAAAUAGGUCUACAACAUAAUAGUAACUCUCUUAUUUUUUUACCAUAGAGAAAUGAUCUACGGCUGAAUACUUCAAAUAUUAAUUAGUAUACUGCUUCAUGCAAUUGAAAUGAAUAGUAAAGUAUACUGCUUCCUUUAUUCAGGCACAUCAUAAUUUUCAAGAAGAAACGUCAUUUUCUUUCUUUGAUCACAAAAGACACAAGAAGAAAGAGACAUGUGUGUGUCUUGUCGUCCUCCCCAUCUCUACUAACACUUUGAAUUUAAUACUGUCAAACUCAAAGGUCUCCUAAAGCCUAAUUAAUCCCUUUAUGAUCACAUGCCCUUCUCCUUCCUCUCUCUCUCUCCAUUCUCCUAGUACCCAUCAAGAACUUCCACAAAAGUAUUAAACUGUAGCUUCAGGAUCCAACCUCAGAGAAACGGUUCUCAAUCAAGGUUAUUUGAGUAUUGGAUAUUCUUGAUUCUUGAACUCAGGAAAAGUCAUUACUAGCCUGUGAUUCUGCUUCAUGACUUGAGGUUGAAGCAACAACACUUUCUUCACCAGAAGAAACAUCUUUGAUCUUUGAACUUAACUCUUCUUUUUCUUCUUCCACGGAGGCAACAUUUUCAGUUUCUUGAUCAAUGUUUUCUUCCUCAACAAAUCCAUUUCCAUGAGUUUCUUUUUCCUCUCCUUCUUCCUUGGAAGCUGAGGUGGAAACCGAUGAUAAACAAGAAACUUCAGAUGAACUCAACUGCUCUGAUCCUUCAGAACUGCGAGACCCUUUUAUGGAUUCAAGCUUUUUCAUCAGAAACUUUAGUCUCUUCUCUGCUUUCUCCCUUAAUCUGAUCUCUUCUUUCAGAUUUUUCUCCAGCUCUUCCAUCUGUUUCCAAGAGAUUAAAGGUUUUCUUUGAAACAAAAAUCAGCUUAUUACCAAACAAAGAUUAAAAAAAAUAAAAAUAACAGAGCAAAUGAAUUUACAAGUAACAAGAAUGACUCUUUUCUUGGUUGUUGAUUAAACCCAAAUCUUCAAAAAAGUAGUGAGAAAAAGGCAUUUCUUAAACAAGAAUGAUGAUACUAAGGAUUUUAUGAAACUUACCUUUCUGGUAAUGAGGUCUGCUUCAUCUUUUACAGACCUUGAAACUUGCCUCUCUGCAAGCAGUCUCCCUCUUAGACACUCCACAGUUCUCAGAUUUCCCUUCUCUUCUCCUUCCUCCAUCUUCUUACUUGCAAAAUUUGUUCUUAAACAAAAAAAAAGAAGAUAAAAAUCAAUUCCUCAUAUACACUCUCUACAUAGAACUUUCUUAAAAUCACACAAUACGACAUAUACAUGUAUAUAAAGAGAAAGAGAAACCUGCAUUUCGUGUUGUAAUUGAAGGGAUCAAUUGUCAUACUGUUCUUUAUAUAUUCAAAAACCAGAACCAGAUUGGUAAAAGCUUGUAAAGCUCAACUUCUCACCUAACUGCAAAAAGGGUAAACUAAAAAUAAUAAGACAGUUAAGACCAAUGUGUUGUUAGAUUGAUGUCACUAUGAUUUACAUUUAUUGUUCAUUCAGUAAGAGGAACAUAUCAACAUCAUAUCUUAAAAACCAACUUACCACGACACAGUCGACACUCUUCUUUAACAAAAAAAAAAAAAAAAUCUCAAGUUCAAAUAGUAAAACAGAUCCAGUUUCAAAUUCAAACCCCCUCACUUGGUAGAGAAGAGUGAAAUGAACUUAAAACCACAAAAGUUUUGAAGUUCUCCUGAAAAGAAGAACAGAAUCUGUGGUGUAGGGACAUGUUGUAAGCAAAACGACAGUGUGGGAUUGGACUUUUGUUACCUUCUCGUGAGUUGGUUGGUAACUCUCCCACUUCAAGACCUUUUUUAUGGUUAAUAAAUUUAACUUCUUACUACAAGGUUAGUUUUAUAUUAUAUGAUACCGCAAAUAUGCAUGUGAACAAGAGGAGUCAUCCUAUUUGUUAAUAUUAAACCAUAUUGCUAUACAAUUUUAGUUUUACCAAGUGUCACAGAUCCCUUCGUCAACAAUAUCACAACAAUACAAAAACAACAUUUCUUGGCCACACAGAAAGUUAAUGCUCCCAAGUCCCAACCUCUCGCUAUAAUUUUACUAAAUAGUUUGUGUUAAUUUUCUUUUUCAAAUUAGAUAAUUAGUUACCAACACGCAAAGAAAACAUUCGAGUGAUUAAGAGCUCACUUGUACUUCACUCAAAGAUCAAAGUAAUUACCAUAACCCUUUUAAUCAAACUAUACUUAUUUUGUGAAGCAACCUAAUGAAUAUAUUCUUGUUCUUAUUAGGAACCCCGCCACUUCAAUCCAAGCCACUUAGUAACUCUCAAGUUAUAGCGAGCUUGGGUAUGAUCUUACCGAUCAUUCAAAGUUAUGUUCACUGACAACAAUAAAAACUACAUAUCAUGAAAAGCAAAAUCAUUACACAUAAACUCUUUUAGAAGCCCCACAAGAAACCCUUUUGAACUCAUUCGACUUCACGGCAAGAAAAUCAAAAAGCUUCAUCAAGCUCUUGUUUCAUGAUACACUCCUUGUCACUCAUCGACUCAACCACACCCUCUAUCAUCUCAUACAUCUCGUUGCUUCUCUCACACGAACCAUCUUUCGCAAUGAAACUUCGUAAUCCUUUACCAGUAUCGAUCCAGCUAGUUCCAGGGAUUUUCUUCAAUCCGAUUUUUUUCAUCUUAUCCCUUACCAUCUCAGCUUCUUCCCAUCUCCCUGCUUGAGUGCAUAGAUUCGCCAUGAUAGUGUAACUCCCUGUAUUUUCUGGUUACAAAAAUAGUAAUACUUAUAUAUAAAAAUUAAUUUUAUUUAAUAUAUUUUCAUUUUUAUAAUAGUAUAUAUAAAUUUNNNNNNNNNNNNNNNNNNNNNNNNNNNNNNNNNNNNNNNNNNNNNNNNNNNNNNNNNNNNNNNNNNNNNNNNNNNNNNNNNNNNNNNNNNNNNNNNNNNNUAUCAUUUUCGUUAAUGUAAUAGGAGGGCCAACCCAAACAGAGAUUGUCAUGAGCGAGAUAGACACACCAGAGAGCUUUCAGCUUAUGGAGUUUGGAGUUAUUUUCGAGGCGACGAAUCACUUUUCCGAAAGCAACAAAGUCGGACAAGGUGGUUUUGGUCCAGUUUACAAGGUAUUUUAAUUUCUCUAGCUAUUUGGACCGAAUCAAAUUAAACUUGAAUCGGCCGGUGACUUGUCUUUCAUUCAACUAAAAAACUAAUAAUAAUAAGGGAAAAUGUGAUGGUAUUGCAGGGAACCUUGCCUGAUGGAAACGAGAUCGCAGUAAAAAGAUUGAAAGCGAGAUCAUCUCAGGGGAUGGCAGAGUUCCGAAAUGAAGUGACUCUGAUUUUACGUGUACUACACGUGAACCUCGUCCGACUUCUAGGCUGUUGCAUCCAUGGAUACGAUAGACUAUUGGUCUACGAGUUCCUGGAGAAUUCUAGCCUCAGCAGCUAUAUCUUCAGUUACUCUCACUCUCUCUCUCUCUAUUCUAGAAUUUACUUGUUAUUUUGUAAACUUUAAACUUGAUUCGUUUUGUUUUUGAUUGAUUACCUCAGAUCAAACUAGAAGCCCGCUCCUAAACUGGGAGCAUAGGUUCGAUAUAAUGAAAGGUAUUGCUGAAGGAUUGUGCUACCUCCACAACUUCACAAGCCCACCGAUACUUCACCGCGACCUGAAACCAAGUAAUGUGCUUCUAGGCAGAGACAUGAUCCCAAAAAUCUCAGAUUUUGGGCUGGCUCAGAUGAUGGAAACUGGCACCACAGAAGCUGCAAUGGAAACAGCAGUAGGAACUUAGUAAGCAUCAACAAAUUGUUAAAACUUUCUUCUUCUUCUUUUUUUUUUUUUCACUAAAACAAAAUCACAAUCAAUUAAUUAAAUCCUCUUUUGUUUGUUUUUUGUGCAGCGGCUACAUGUCUGAAGAAUAUGCGAAAGAUAAUAUCAUGUCCCAGAAAUCAGAUGUCUUCAGUUAUGGAGUAGUGUUGUUAGAGAUUCUUACUGGAAGGAGAAAUCAUGAGUAUUGUAUUGCAAAUCCAGGAGAUAGUCUUCUCGACUUCGUAAGUUUAAUUUUUCUUUGUAUUCUUAAAAUUUUAAAGAAAAUUUAUAUUUUAGAGUUUUUUAAAAAGGUUUGGAGGCGAUGGAAGGAUGGUACUGGAUUGGAGGUCGUGGAUUCGAGCUUCCAUGAUGAUUCAUUUAUAGAAGACCAGGUUUUACGAUCAAUGAAGAUUGGUCUAUCCUGUGUUCAACAAAAUAUGCACGAUAGGCCUAGUACAAGGACCAUUGUGGUUAUGUUUGAAAAUGGCCCACGAUCAGAAAUUCUAGAUCCGACGAGACCAAACUAUAAUCUCACAAGAGCUGAUUCAUCUUCUUCUCCAGUUACCGUUACCGACCAAUCAGUCACUAUUAACGAGGCCACUUUGUCAUGCACUGACGCCAGGUGAUGUUUUUAUGUAGUGCGUUUUUCUACUAGUUUACUUAAAAAAAAAAAAAUUUGAACUAUCAUUCCUAUGUUAUGUUUAAUUUCAUGUGUUUUUUCUUCUAGUUUACUCUUUGAAAAAAUAACUACUAUUAUUCAUAUGUAAUGUUUUUAGUUGUUUGGGUCUCAGUGCGGGAGACUGAUACUUUAAUGGUUUAUCUCUUUUGCUAUGCACUUAAUGACAACGAACAUAAUAUCUCGAUAUAAUAAUUAACAACUAGGAUGAGACAAAACCAAAACCAAAACCAAAGGCAACAAGUUACAAGACAAACUGUUCAAAGUCAAUCUAAUCACAAAGAUAAACCCAGUUACAUAAUAUCCCACCUAUUUUUGUUUUUUAGCUGGUGUUUGAUCGAUGUUCUUCACCUGCAAGCAAAAAUGUGGCUUUAGCUGCUUCCUCUUUUGGUGUCUGAAAUGCUUUAAGAACAGAGAGAGAGAGAGGGAGAGCAAAAUUGUUUUACUGGGCCGCAUUCUAAAUAGUACGGCUUUGGUAAUUAUGUAAACAUAUCUUAUACCGAGACAAAUAAGAAUUAAAUUAAGUUAUCCUAUCAAUUAAUUUCAAAACCUCCACUUAGUCUAAUGAUUAACGGAAUCAUUUGGUUAGAAUAAUUAUUUAGCCAUAAACACCAAAAUCACAUGGAACAUAAGCUCAAUUACCUGUUUGGUGCCUUCAACAGAAGAAGUACGACCCCAUCUCUCAGGGGUCCCAAAGUAUGCUACUGUUGAAAGCAAAGCUUGAUAUAUGAACCGGAGGCUUUAUCUCUGUCUUGUUAUUAAUUUUUCUCAAAUGCCACCCCAAAACUUGUGAAGAUUCACAAACCGGCCUCUCUACUAUCACUCGCUUCCUAUUAGCUGAUACCAAUAUGUAUACAUUGUUUAGCCCCGCAAAAUGGACUAUCCCGCUUUGUUUGUGAUGCUCAAUGUGUCUCAACGCUAGGUUCCUUUGAUGAUCAAGCUCAAAUUCAAAGCUCGUGAAGUUUUCUUUGAAGACUAUACGUCUAUACAUUAAACCAGUUUUUCUUAACAUUGUUGGUGAAGAGUUUUCUUCAGCAUCGGAGUGUUUCUCCACGACUAUCCACAAUAAAGGAGGUGGAACUAGCCUCAAAGUAUUGGCCAUUCUCCUAAGGAGCACAAUUUUGUAACGAUCUUUCGUCAUUACCCAGAGUUACAACAAUCACUAGACCUCUUGGUGCAACUUCUUCUUCUUCUGUCUUGGAGAGUGAUCUGGUUUCUUGUUCAGGUUCUUGUGACUUCAAAGGUGCUGGGGCCUGACCUUGGGAACUGUUCAAUGCUUUAUCAACGAGAGGAUUGUGUGUAUAGGUAGAGUUCUCAAAAGGUUGGGAAGGAAUCUGAGAUUUAGUGGUAGUAGAGGGGGUGGUUUCGAAAUUAUAGAAAAGUGAAGCCUUACCAGCAGGAGCAAAGCCAGUGAUGAAACACAUUACAAAACAUAGAGAGAAAUGGAUCACAGCUUUCUUCCAUACCUGAGUUUUCUUCUUUGAUCUCUCCAGAGAUCCCAUCAGGAUCCAACCCUAAGAAGAAGUUUUUCUUAAUUAAGUGAUUUUCCUUUUAUUUUUUGGGAAGAACAAUCUAGUUUGAAGAGUAUGAAAUAUAAGGGCUUUUAUGACAUUUGUAUAGUUUUUGUCUUUAUAUUGUUGGUAAAUGAUUAAAACCGGCGAGCUACGUAGGAGUACGUUCUCUUUGAUUGAUUGCGUGUGUUGGUUGUGUUCUGCAACAACUUGUUGGGAUCAUUGGAACUCACUAGCUAGCUGAAACAUGUUUGGGAAAUAUAAGAAAAUUACUGUUAAUAUAGCAAAUAUAUUAAAAUUAAACUUUGCUUAUUAAUGACUCUUAAUGCAAGUAAUUAAGUAUUAUUUUAGUUGUUGUUGAUGACUGAUGAGUAAGGUUAUGAUCAAGAUAGGAACUUUUGAGAGUACCUAAUAUAGAGGAUAGUAGUCUUCAAAAAGUGUGAAGUGAUGAAACUUGAAGUUGAAAGAGACAAUCCAAAAAAUAAAUAUUAACAUGUCAUCGUGGUUUAUAUUAUGCACUUUAACAAAUGGAUAUCAUUUUUACCGUUAUAUCAAGCCAUGUAAAUACAUACCACCACAAACAAGUCGUUUUCUCAAGAAAGUUAGAAAAGAGAUCAAGCUGGACGAGGAGUGAGCCUAUCUUUGGCCGCCGUGUCUCCACGGUGGAGGCCAGAGGAGAUACGCAAGCAAGAAGAAGCCCCCCGAGAAACGCUCUGUUACUAACUCGGUGUUCUUGGAGCAAGAACAAGAAGAGACAAAGGAACCUCAUGAUGAUGACGUCAUUGUCGGAGAACCCAAGGUUGUGCAUUUAAUAUUCAGUUCAUUUAAUACAUCAGUCAAGUCACAUUUCCAAGAAAAUACUCCACUAACGAAGGCGUCUUUGUCUAUUUUUAAUUCGUUCCUUAACGCGUACGGAACGCGGCCCAAUAAAAUAAUUACUUUAAUUCUAUUUUAAGUCUCUGCUUCUCUACCUUCUUUCCUCUUUGUAAGAUCAGAGAGAGAGCGUUUGUUGAGAAGAUCUUAUUAGAAGGUGAAUAUCAAUCAGAACAUGGCGAAAGAAGACAACCACGAAGCUCAACGAUGCGAGUGCGAGGAUCAUGAGGAAUCGAGUCCUCUCUUGCAAGUUAACGAAAGCAAGAUCUGCUCAAAAGGGGACACCACCAAGACGGCGGAGGAAUAUGGCUGGACGGCGGAUGGAUUGCCGGUGAGCCAAGGGAGCGUGAUCGGCGAGCCGAUCGGGAGAAACCAAUGGAGUUCCGGUCUUUUUUCCUGUCUCGGCCGAAACGACGAGUUCUGCAGCAGCGAUCUCGAAGUUUGUGAGUCUUUAUGUUCUGUCUCAAUGAUUAGUGUCUGAAAUUUGGGAUUUUUUUGUUAAUGGGUUUCUUGAUUUGGUGGAGGAUGAAUUGUAAAGUUUUGAUUUUGAUGUGUUUUUCACUGUUGGUGAGUCUUGCUUGUGUUCUGUCUGACUGUCUCAAUGGUUAUUGUCGGAAAUUUUGGUUUUUUUUUUAUUUGGUAGAGAUUGAAUUGGAAAGUUUUGAUUUUGAUGUGUUUCACGGUUGGUGAGUCUUGUGUUCUGUCUCAAAUGAUUAUUGUCGGAAAUUUGAGGUAUUCCCUAAUGGGUUUCUUGAUUUGGUGGAGAUUGUAUUAGAAAGUUUUGAUUUUGAUGUGGUUCAUGGUUGGUGAAAAGACUCAAAUCUUUUACAUCUUAAUGGCUUCUUCUUUGUUAGGUCUCCUUGGAAGUGUGGCUCCAUGUGUGCUGUAUGGAAGCAAUGCAGAGAGGCUUGGGUCUGCUCCUGGAACGUUUUCGAAUCACUGCUUGACGUAUUUGGGGUUGUACUUUGUCGGCAACUCUCUAUUUGGAUGGAACUGCCUUGCUCCAUGGUUCUCUUAUUCUAGCCGCUCUGCCAUUCGCCGAAGGUUUAACCUUGAGGUAAUGAUCAAAUUAUCUGGUAUUUAAUCCGGAAAAAAACUGAAAAAUCUGUUUUUAUAUCUGAAUUAUCUGAAAUUAUCUGAGAAAAAGGAACCGAACCGAAAUUUUGUAUUAGUCAGUUUUUAACAUUGUUGCCCGAACCAAAAACGGAAAUAACCAAAACCGAACCAAAUUUCAAAUAAUCAAACGGUUCCUAUAUCUCUAGAACCGAAAAUCGAAAAAAAAAAAGAACUGGAAGUGAACGCCAAGCCUAGUUGUACUCUAAGAAAAGAGUCAAUCAACUCCUCUCUUUAUAUAUCUUCUUGGUUGUGUACCACUCUCUGAGUUUUAUAGGAGCCAUGGAGAGACAAGUCUUGUCUCAUAGGCACUCUAGUGUCUCUAGUUUUGGGCAUGUGUAUUACGAGAGUCUCCGUUGCAUUCCAUCUCGUGACCCUAUCUUUUGUUUUCUUUUGGUGUAAAAAACAGGGAAGCUUUGAGGCGAUGAACAGGUCGUGUGGUUGCUGCGGUAGCUGCAUAGAGGAUGAGAUGCAAAGGGAACAUAUGGAGACGACUUGUGACUUUGUGACGCAUGUCCUUUGCCAUACAUGUGCACUUUGCCAAGAAGGCCGUGAGAUCCGCAGGAAGGUUCUUCACCCGGGUUUCAAUGCUCAGUCCACUGUGGUUGUGCUUCCACCAAGUGAACAAACCAUGGGACGUAAGUAAGUGAAAAGCUUGCGUUGAGUCAUGUGUCCUAAAUAACAUUUGUAAUACACAAGGUGAACUAUGACGUUGUCUCUUGCUUGCUUUUGUCGCGUGUUCUUUUCUUUUUUUUGGUCUUUCUUCAGUGCAUGCAAAUGUAUGUAUAUCUUUAUUGUUACGUACUUGGUUUUGGAUAUGGUCUUGUAAUAUUCAAUAAAGUUUCGCAACUUGUAACUCUAUAAACGUGGAGGCAUUCCUUUCCGGCGGAACCUUCAUUGCUCAUAGCUCCAAACCAAAGUCUGUGAGAUCAGAUGUGGUAAAGAACGGUUCGGAGAUUCUAAUGAAAUGAAAGAUCUGUUUUUGGACCGGAGAGAUCAAGACAAAAGUGAUUGAUUGCAUUUAAUUUAUAAGACUUUUUAUAUCGCAACUUUGCGAGUCUUUAAUUGUUGCACUAGAGAUCCAUUGUAAUCAUUGUGGUUAAUUUGACUCCUUGAGUUUAUUAGUGUGCAUGUGAUAUGAUUUCUUUAGAUUUGGUUUUAAUAUACAUUUUGUGAUAAAAGGGUCAAGAUCUAUAGCUUAAUACUAUAAUUAAUGUUAAUUAGUACAUUUGACAUUUUCUUAUAGAAAUGAUUAAAUAGGUCUAUUGAUUAGACGCCAAACAAGACUGGCCAAAUUAAUCGCUGAUAAUUCAAAAGAAACCAGACGAAUUAUCAAAAGAUCUUCUAAUAAUGAAAUGAUUUGUACAAAGAGUCAAAAGGAGACACAUGGAGAAGUGCCCAACUCGUCUGGCAUGGCACCUCACUACUAAGCAAUCACGAUUUGGCUUGUGGAGUCAACGAGCUUAUGACAUUAGCUAGUUAAUUUCCCCCAAGUUGACAUCUACUUUUUAAACACAAUUUAUUUAUUACUUAUUAUACAAUUGUAGAUCUCAUCAUAUAUUUUUGAUAUGCGAUUUCUAGUAGUUUAUUGUAGACGACUGUUCUUUGUUUUCUCUUACUCUCUAAUCUGAAUCUCAUUGCAUGGUCGGCAACAUUUUUUACUUGGAACAUUUUACCAUCAAUAAUCGAAUUUUGAUAUCAUGUUAAUAAGUUCUAAAAACUUUAAUGUAUAACUUAACUUAUGUCCCUUAUACAUUACCUGUUAUUCCAUCACAUUUUGAUUUUGAAUUUGUAAGAAGUUUAUAUUUGUGUAUCAUAUAAGUUUAUGGUCUUGAAUCUAAUAGUUUUUGGUACUGUUAGUUCUAAAAUCAUUGACGAAUAUACCAAAAAAUGUGACAAGAGAUAUAUAAAAGUCCCAUCAAAUAAAUUUGGAUUGGUAGUUGUUUCGAAGUCACUCCCUAAUGUACCAAGAACAUAUCUUAAUCCAUCCCAGUUUUUGUAUCUCUUCUUAUUGACUCCAAACCAUUAACACACACACACACAUACAUACAUAUGAUAUAUGAUAUAUAUGGUUAUUAUCUUUCAUAGCAAACAUAAUCAGUUAGUUCACAUAACGACAAUCCUUCCUAAUCUCUCCUUGGUCACCGGUGAGAGGAUUGGUCUCGGACAAGAGCCUGAUAGCGCGUGAAAAUUGCUCAUGGAAGUAACCAUUGUCCGCAGCCAUCUUCGCCACAAAGGGUGCGGUCCUCGGAUCCGUGGCUAUCUCAUCAUCGAUGACAAGGAGUCCUUUAUGAGCCAUGAUGUUUUUGUAAUACAUAUUGUCCACAACCAUCGGUGUCUCAGGGUCGUUGCGGGAGUAUAAGACCUCUUUUGGGUUCGGAUUUGGAGUAGGGCAACGUUUUUUCAAGUAAAGGGCGUACGUAGGGUCGAGAGUCGGGUCAAUCGUUGGGUAUAGCCGGUGCACUAGGUUAACGCAGUGGACUCUACCCACUGAGUGUGCACCUACGGUAAUAAAAAUUGACCGAUCAAUAACAAUGACAGUUAUAUAUCUUUAUUAUCUUAACUAGUAAAUAAACUUUCCAAAAAAAAAUAUCAUAUGUAUUAUUUAAGUAUAUGGUUGAUAAAACUAUUUUAUUUUGAUUUUAUCAGAAAAUGAACCAAAAAUACCCAAAUUAUCUUCUAUUGAACCACCGGACCGUAUAAAAUUUGGUUUAAUUAACGGUGUAAAACGCACAUCUAUCCUAAAAUCUUGAACAAAUUCAAAAACCAAAAUGUCCAUCCUGGUUAGUGUUACCGUGCUGGCUCAAAUCUAUUGACCUAUGCAUUUAAAAGAUAGUUUCUACUCAGAUUUAUAACUCAGGUACCUAAGAGAGCAACGGUGGCUUCAACAUCGAUGCCGAUGGAGUUAAAGUUUGAGAGAACAGACGAGAGAGAGUCAUUGUGGUUAGGAACUAGAGCCUCAACAUCUCUCAAGUAGCUCCCUCUACUGUCUCUCCUUCCUGUCUUUAUCAUAUCUAUCUUUGGCCCUUUCAACUAUUCAUUUCACCAACCAAAAAAAAAACAUCUUAAUAAAAAUAUAAUUCCAAACUAAUUAAAUUAACCUUACAAUGCAUAUACUUACCAUGACAAUACCAUCUCUAGCAGAGAGAGCAACAAUAUCAGCGCAAGAGACUGUUCCAGGACAUUCUUUCUCGAGUGCAUCUUUGAUAGUCUUGAUAUACUUAAAGUUUCUCAUACCAAAACUCCUUGUUGACUUUUGCUCUGAUUCCACACCUCUUGCUGUCUCUAGUAGCAGUGACGCAUCACACGACUACAAAAAAAAAUACCCAUGAACAUAAAUAUUCACGAUGACUUUUUGGUAAUCAUGUUUUUAAAAAUAUUCACGAUGAUGAUGAUGCCAUGUGAUUAUAGAGUAAAUGUAAUUACCUUGACGACGCAGUCAUGGAAGAGAUUACGGAGCCAAGAUACGGCUGUGUUGCCGUGUUUGUAGUACAGCGUCUCCACUUGUUGUCUGAUUAUCUCUUCCGCUCUCGGACAACUCUCUCUGUAAUAAUUCAUCUUCAGUUCCGCAUUUCCUACAGUUUAGUUAAUCUUUAGAUUCGAUUUAAAAAAAAGUUAAUCUUUAGAUUAUUCGCUUUAUUUACGUAUGAGUGAUUACUAGCCAUUUUAUAAUAUAAUAUUUGUUGAAUUUUUACGGUGGAAAUUAGUUUACUAAAAAAAACCGUAGUUAUUUUGGUUUCAGCUAGCAAAAAUUAGAAAUAUAUUCUCGAGACAUGGAUACACGUGGCAUAAUGUGAUAAGAGAAAAGGGAAUAUAAAUUACCGAUAUGAAAGAUGGAAAAUAACUGUAAUAACAGGCAAAAGAAAGCCAAAAAGCAGAAGGGCAUCUUCACAAUGGCCAUCUUUUUCUCUCCUAUCUUUUUGUACUUUGUUGAUUGGUGUGUCUCUUUAUGUGUCCAAUGUAGGGUUAUAUAGAGAUUCAAGAGACUUGAGAAACUCUCUUUAAUCGUGUAAUAUAUAAUUAAGUAUUUUUAUUUCUUAUAGUCAUAGUGGUUGCCCAUGUUAAUUAUUCUUUUUUGAAAUUAUCAGGGGAUUUCUUAUUCUAGACGAAUAUUAAUAUUGAAGCUUGUAACCACUAGCUAUAUAUCUGAACUCAAUAGUUGUUGAACAUGUGAAUUCAGUGAGACGAGUUUUCCUAUUCUAUCCGAUGAUAAUACAAAAUUAAAUUAGUUCGGCUUUUCACUUCUUUUCACUUUUAAUUAGCCUUCCUCAUACAUGUUUCAUGUUCACAAGAUACAAAAGGAGGAGAUCUGUAAUAUAAAUUACGCUCUAACUUGUAACUAAUUGAUUGGAUUGGAUUCGAAUAAAUAAAAUCAAAAUGUAAAUGCUUGCGAUGAAUAUGUAUAUUACACAUCAACUUCAAGAUGACCGACUCAAUUAACUCCCAAUCAUGCUAAUCUAUAGGUAUUCAAUAUAUAGCAUACAAUAUUAAAUACGGUUUCACUUAUAUGAGUUCAUUCACUAAUAUAUGAGUAAAUUAUUAUUACCCGACUGCUGCAUAAAUUUUAUACCACCGAUUUAGUUUAUAGAUUCUAACAGACUUACUGACAUGUUAUAUUAUUCCAUUUGAAAUAUCGUUACCAGUCUGGAUUCUUUGGCUGACUUAAAAAAAAUAUUUUGCUUCAAUUGUGUAACAAAUGUAGAAGGAUAUUAUAGACUAGUCAUAAAUAUGUAUAUAUGCAUGGCCCAUUGUUAUACAUUUUGGGAAAAUUAUUGAAUAUAUAUUAUAUAAAAUCAUCUGAUGGUAGCCACAAUUUUUUUGUUUAAAUUAUCUGUAACAUGAUUACCGUCUAUAGCGGGUUUGCGUCAUUUCGGACAUGCGCUUGAUGCAAAAUCAAUACGACUGUGGAUGUUAAAAUGGAUAUAUUGACUUCACUAAAUGUUAAUAUCAUCAUCAGCCACUUUAUCCUUCGGCCACUUAGUCACUUGUGAUAUUUUUAACACAACACAUUGGGUGAAUUCGUAUUAUACGCAUUUAAUGUGGCACCAAGAGUUAAUUCAGACCCAUUCAUAGCUAAGCAGUUUAUAAUAGGUUGCCGCUAUUUCAACGUAUCAUUCAUCAAAAUUUGAUGUAUCUAUUUUAGUAGAAAACGAAAGAUGUUUCAUUUUAUUUGGUGUAAUAAAUCUUUAAUGCUCUUGAAUACUGCUUAAUACCGUCAGAACUCAGAACAUUAACUUUAGUUUUAAAUUAUAAUGCAAUUACUAAAACACUGCAAAUUUAUUUCAUUAUACAAUAUACAAAAAAUGAUCAUGUAUACUCUCUCUCUUUUCACAAUGAUAAAUUCCCAUUUUUGUUUUUAAAGAAUUUUAAGGUUUUAAUACAUAUUCCCUCAGUUUCGUAAAGAAUACCACUUUGACAUUUUCACACAAAUUAAAAAAAUGAUUAAAAUACAUUAAAGUUCUUAUUAGUUACACUUAAUAUGAAACAGAAAGAGUAUUUAUUAGUACUUGUUACAAAUUGCAUAUAUCAAAAUAUUUAUUAAUAAUAAAUACAUUUUUAUUUUUAUUAGUUUAAAUUUAUGUAAAAUUGUAAAAAAUUUAUAAUUGAUCACUAAACAUUAAUUAAUAUGUGUAAGAAAUGAAAAUUUAAAAAAAAUGUGAAACAGAAAGACUAUCACAUAAUUUAAUAAAUGUAAAAACUACAAGAAUUUAAGUUAAUAAUAUAUUUACGUCAAUAAUACUUAUGUUUCGGGUUGAUAUCUUAAUUCGUUUUGUAAUAAUAGCACUUUUAAAUCAAUUUGGUUAUAGAUUUUAAAAUAAAUUAUACUCAUACUUGGAAGCAAAUUAAAAAAAGGUUAUAAGAUUGCUUGGUGUAUGAAUAAUUGAAAACCAUUUUUUGUUUUUGACAACAAUUGAAAGCCAUUAAGUUUGACCUUUUUAGGCACUUGCUUAAUCGCACGCGCAUUUGAAAACCACCAAAUAAAAUCAACCCCACUUUCUUAAUAUUAUUGUGACUGAUGACGGCUGUAACAUUCUGGUCUUGACCGUCCAGUCCAUUCACUUGAACACGCACAUAAUGCUUUGUUGCCGAUUCACUUAUUUUCAUUAAAACUCAUCAUAUAAAUGAUUUCCCCUCCUUUUUCCUUUACAUCUAAAAGUCUAUGUAGUUUUUCUAGAUGCUUAUGAGUUACGCAAAACGAUCCUCUCCCACACAAAAAAACAAUAAUAUUAAUAUAUGUUUUAAUGUCCAAGUGUUUGAUUAGUGCUGCAGUUUGUAAAUAUGUAAUAAAACUAAUCAGCUUAAUUUUCUGUUUAAACAAGAAGUUUUGUAUAGAAAGACGACUUGGAUUAUAUUUUUGUAAGAAUUCUGAAUUCCUGUCGUUUCAUUCCAUAACAAUAUGUGUUAAUAUGUUCGUGUAUUAUUGACUUGUUGCUUUAUAGUUAUUUAUUUAUUCCCAAGUCAGAUUAUAUUCGUUCGGAAAAUGAACGUGACUCGUAUAUGAGUUGACCUUAUGAAUAUUGUCUAAGGCCUUAUCCAUUAGAUUAAAAGUUCAUUAUACACUUAUUAUUUGUAUUUAGUUUGAUUAUCUCCAAGGCUACAUUAUGAGCUGUUAGCUAGUAUCCUAAGUUAUGAAUAGCUCCAGAAAGGCCUUAUCCUAAGCUAUAUGAACAUUGUGAGCUAAGCUGAACACUUGCUUAGAUGUAACUUGAUCUUGUAUGUUUUCUCUAAAAGACCAAUAGCCAUCUUGUAUGCUUAGUUGAAUUUGUAUUAGGAUCUCUUAGUUGUAAGAGAUCAUAUGUUCAUCAAAUGGUUCUAUCACUACCAUAAGUUCUCUGUAAGGCCUUGUUGUUCUUCUCGCUCUGCUUUCUGCAGCCUGGUUAGUUUCCACAGGAGGCUUAUGUUCUUUGAUAGCAAAGUGAAAACCGUCCAUCUCUUCAUAGUCAUUUGGUAUAUUUGAACUUGUGAGCCAGUAGGCACAUGAGCUUCUCAGCAAGAAGAAGCAUUCUCUUUUCUUUUUUUUUCUCUACUCACCAAUAACAGAUAUUAACUUCCUUCUAUUUACAACUUAAAAUGUUAUAGUCUAUCACAUAUUUUCCCUUUAAACAAAAGAGAGAGGAAUUAUAUAUGUAUAGUUUAUCUAUCAUAUGGGUUCUUAAAAGCAUCAGGUAAAAGCAGGUGAUUUGCAGAUAGGGCAAGAGUUCUUCAAAGACAGCCAUUUCUUUAUGCACCCUCCAUGGUAGUCAUGACCACACCCUUUAAGUUCCCCCAACUCUUCUCCUUCCUUGUAUUCCUCCUAAAUGUUACCGUUACCACACCACCAUUAGACUCUUGGCACAUUUAAAUCUUUGAGACAUGCGAAUCUUACCAGGCAGAUUGCACAUUUUCUUUCCUCAUCCGUUUGAUACAAUGGGUAGAAUAUCGUCUCCAACAAGCAAGUGGAGAUUGCGCCCUUGGAUAGACCAGUGUUAACACUCCCAAUCCUUUCAACAAGAUCAAGAAGGUCCUGGAUAGUGUCAACCAUUUCAAGAUACAUCAGUUGCGAGACAUUUUGUCUGGGGCUUAGAAAAACCAAGAGUUCUGUAAUUAACCUCGUAGGUCAUGUCAUCGAUGUCGAGCCUCAAUUCUCUGUGGUGAUCAUGCAUAUUCCUGGAUCCAUAGUGCUGUUGGUGAUCUACAGCCAUAAAUCCCUGUUUUUGUACAUCCACAACAAAAUAAUAGAAGAAAGUUCAGUCUGCAGCAGAAUAAGAAACAUGAGAGUCUAUGUAGGCAAGUUUCUGAAGUGUUGGUCCCAUCAGUUUAUUGGCAAGUUUGGUAGGGAAAAAAAUUACUACACCUGAGAUGAAAAUGGUUCAUGGAGAGCAACUUCAUCGAAAGGAGGCUGAAACCUCUCAUAGGAACUCCUGCGUCUCCCUGGGCGAUCACUGCUACGCCAUGAGAUGUGUGGUGGUGGCCUCAGAUGCCUAGAAGGAUAUGUCUCAGUGACAAAAGGAGACCUAUCUCCAGAAGAAGAUGCUGAAUGUUCCAAUCGCAAACCGUUUGAAGAAGAUCUAUAGGUGGGUGUUGACCUAUGAGAGAAGCGGGAGCUAGUUGCAGAUUGUGUUGAAGUUCCAGGAAAACCGUGGGAAACUGUAGAGUUUCUGUUUCCGAUUAGCCCUUGGUGAUACCAAGAGGUAUCAACAGAUGUGCUGUUGGCGACACUUCUCGUGGGAAGAAAAUUAUUUGUCUUUGGACUAAAGCCAUUUAAAUCUGCAGGGUGAGAAUUCAUGUGGUUAAAGAACGUAGUCAGUAAAAAUUUGAAUCUCAAGAGAGACCAAAGUGAAAUUUGCAUACCUCUAGGUACUGGGGAGUGUCUAGGAAAGUUCCAGUUCCAGUCCUUAUUCCUGUGAGAUGUUUGACCAGGAAACUGACCUGAGCUAGAGUGAUCAACAUUGUGAUGUGUAGGAUGAGAAUCAAGGUCCAAGCUUCUUGAAAAAAUAUUUCUAUCUACACUAGUCUCUAAAUCAAGUGUAGGACGACUCCGGACAUUCCUUGAAGAACUCUCUCCCCUGAUCGAGAGAUUAUUACUUCUGUAACUUGGGUUCAUGAGCCACGGCAUGUAAUGAGGACCAUGAUCACGAGUUGUUGAUUUUCCCAUGUCCAACUCCGAGGAGAAAGGGAUAUCUGAGGAAGUUCUGCCACCGUGGUAAUGGCUUGAACUACCCAUUUCAUAGACGGAAGAAUCGCAUGGGGUUUUCCGCUUCUGUGCUCCUCUCACAUUUUCCAUAUGUAGAUCAACAUAGCCAUCCAAUGACCAUGUCUGACUGUUGCAGUACGAAGAAGAUGCAGAUGUCACAUAAUGUUCAAGUGGAGCAGAGAAAGUUGCAGCUGCUGAACUCAUGACAGGAACAUGGGUGGGGCCGCUAGUCCCUGGAUUGUAGUGUAGCCUCUCUACACCAUGACCUGAAGCAGUAUACGCAUUUGGUCCUGUAGAAGAGUUCCAGUGCGAAGAAAAUGGCAUUCCUUCAUUCAACACGUUUCCUGCUGGAUUAACAUGCGAUCUGCUCUCACUGGUCCCAGUUCUUGCUGAGAUAACAUAGAGCGAACAAUAAUACGAAUCAGAAAUUCCGGACACGAUUGCACAGGAAAAAGUAGAAUUAUGUAUGUGAUGAUUAUAAAAUGUGGCUUCCUAAUUUUCACUACCUGAGGGUAUCACCUAUCAAGAUUCAUUUUUGCCCCUACUGAAACCCAAUCUACCCAUGAGGGAGAAACUUCUCAACCUAAAAAUACGCAUGCAACAUCAACGCAAUAGCUCUUACACAGGUUGAGUAUAACAUCUAUCCAUGAAGAACGUGUUAAAAAUAUUGAUUUCAACCACAGAAUAAGGAUCUCUAUAGGAAUGGAGAACUAAUUACCUAAACUCGUAUAUGGGUGCUCUGGGUGUAUAUGGUUCCAGCCUUGAUCCUGUUCAUCAUCGAAAAAUUGGAAAGAGCCAGGAAAAUGUCUGUGCCCCAUGAUUACACAAAUCUUCAACCUUGGAGUCCAGCUAACCCUGCACAGAAAGUUCUCUCAACAUUCAGAACUCAUCCAGAAAAAAAUUUGCAAGUCCAUAAAAAUAGUUCUUAAUUACUAAGCAAUCUCAGUUUCAAUUCAAGAAUGGUAUAUAAAGUAACAUCUGCUUUAGCUCAGAAGUACCAAAUGGUUGCUGAAAACGAGUCACCCAUCUAUUUUCAGUUUUAUAGUCACAUUUCAAGACCAAAACUCCAAUUUUUGCAACUGAAGAACCUUAACCAUCGCCAAGUUAAGAAACAAAGUUUCUUCAACCCCACACAUGAGCAUACUCAAGCUGUAAGAAACGAUUUAGAAUAUGCAUAGAGAACACUACACAGUAUUAGGACGGACAUCAACUUCAGGUAUAAAGGAAACUGACAAUGGUAUAUUGAUAGAGAUUCUUUAUCAGAAGAGAGUCCAUAGUUUCAAUACCUAGUAUCAAUAUAGUUGAAAUAUCUAGUCUCAGUUACCUUUGUCACCCGUAUCUAACAUACUAUACCCUCAGAGCUCAGCUCAUGAUAUCAUAAAAACAAGUUUUCGAAGAGUUGGACUGGAAAGUUCCUGAUGCCUUAAGAUGGGAAUAACCUUAACUAGUACAUAUCUAUCAGCUCAUAAGGGUAUCUUGCAAUCAAGAGUUAAUAAAUAAAACAGAAACCUACAUUUUCUCUUUGUGUAAGCCAAAAGAAAAUAAGAGACACAAAACAAGCAAGAGUGUUCUCUAGUACAUUGGCAUAAGAAGUUCAUUUAAACAAGACAUUUACUCAGGUUUAAGAACUUCAUAAAUUUUACAGAAACAGUCCACCGAGAAUAAGGCAAGAAAGAACAGAUACAGAACAGAUAACAUUUGAUAUGACCAUUUCAGCUUCUAUCAACACAUACAGAACAGAUGCAUACUGCUGGCAUGAUCAAGAAAAUUACAUGGAUGAUUCAACAGCAGGAAAUAAGUUUAAUUUUCUGAGCCAAAACCCUCCAACAAUACUACUGCAGGCAAAUUAAACUCCCAACCAAGAAUACACUAAACUACACAAGUGAAAAAGCCAUCAUCCUUUCCUGAUCAACUGAUUCACCAUUUCCACACACCAAAUGUAAUUUCUUCUCUUCAAGUUCAGAAUCAUAACGGGCUUAGUCCACAGAGUGCUGGCCAGCAAAGGCUUACCACCACAUUCUACUAUUCUGAAGCUUUUACUUAGUCAAAACCUGCCAUCCGGCCCAGCACACCUAGAUCUACUCCAAGAGCUAGUAAGCAGAAAUGGGUUGUGUGAAAGGAUGCUUCUAAGCAAUUUGCUUUAUGCUUCAUAGGAUGGUUGUCAUUUCGCAAGAAAUAUUGAAGUUUUUACCUUAAUUCACACUUCAAGCAUCACUGACUAAUUAACACAUUCAGUUAUGAACGUGGAAUCAAAAGAAGGGUGGUGGAAGAACUGGACCAGACAAACUUCACAAAGCCUUGACUACCAUAAACAUAGUUAUCAGCCAUAAAACGUAAAUGAGUAAAAAACUAACCACGCUAAUAGAGUUUGGUUGACUUAUCUUACUUCAAGUUCACGUUGGUUUCUCAAUCAACCAACAAUCUGCCAAAAUAGAAGGAAAACGGCAGCCACCGAUUCUAUGUAUUACAAAGGCUUAGCAUAAGGCACUAACAUCUGCUGACAAAAGUGUUAGAAUAAUACAUUUUCUCUGCUACAAUUUCAAAUUUUCUAUUAUAUUUUUGAGAAAAAAACCAAAAUAGCACUAAAUCAAGUUUUUGUUCCCAAACUAGCACUCAAGGCCAAAAGUCACAAAAAUAGCACUCAAGAGAUGGGGUUUAGGGUUUAGGGUUUAAAGUUUAAGUUUUAGGGUUUAGAGUUGAGAAGUGAGAUUUUGGAGAUAAGAUUUCAAAUUUUGAAAAAUAAAAAAGUUUAAAUUUUUCAAAAGAUAAAAUGCUAUUUUGGUCAUUUAGUUUUUGAGUGCUAUUUUUGUGAUAUAAACUUAGAAAAGUACUAUUUUGGAGAUUUGCCUUAUAUUUUUUCGAUUUUUUUUUUUUUGAUUAUACAAAGUUUCCCUAAAGGCUUCCUAAGGGACUAAUCUGUGUAGCUGCAACCCGAAUGUGAAAUCCGCAGUGGCCGGGAAUCGAACCCAGGUGGCGGUACUCACAGCUGUGAGCCUCUGUGAGCUAAACGCCCCGGUUUAUUUUUUCGAUAUUACUAAAGAGGAAGACGUAUUUGCUGACCUUAAACUAUAUGGACGUUACUAGUUCAAGACUGAGAGAAACCAUCGUUGCCACUAAACCUGCUGGAUACAAAGCCUAGCUAGUUUGAUGCUAAAUAGGAAACUGCUCAAACUAGCUCUAUAUAGCUUAGCCCCGUCGCUGAAGUAGCCUGAACUAAUCACCGAUCUGGUCUCCUCUUCUUCUCAGCAUCCGAAUCUCUAACUACGAUUCAAACAAUCCAAUCACGAAAAGUCACUCAUGUAGCAGACGGAAGCAAACAAUCAUCACGCAAAAGGAAAACAGAUGAUCCGUCGUAACAGCGUUUAAACAAAUCAUUGGUGAAACUGCAAUCGAUUUGAGCAUAUAUAUACAUAUUUACACGAAAACCUCAGAGCUCAAACGAUGAUCGGAGAAGAGAGAAACGUACCGCUAGCAGCGUGCGGAUGAUGGAGAAAGGAGAACGAUCGGAGGAUUCAAAGAGACGACGAACGGAUUCGUAGAGAUGACUCAGCUUGAGGAUUGUGAUCGGUUGAUAUAUUUAAGAGAGAAAGCAAAUGAAAAAAUGAUAAAACAAAACAAUUUAAUUUAAAAGCGAUUGGGUGGGUACGUUGCUGGAAAAUUUAGACCACCACAGCAUCACCGGCUGAUUAAUGGGCGUAGAUUAAUGGGCCUAUAUUUUGACUUUAUAUGGGCCUCCACUGGAUCAGCAACUAUCCCUUCUUCUUUUUUUGUCACCAGCAACUAUAGCAUUGUUCACAUAGUGCAUUAUGUUGCAUCUGACAGAUUAUGAGCAUAUAAUCCUUGAAUCUGCUUUGUAGAAAGCUCUUAGAAAUUUAAUUUUUCCAUUGUCUUUGCACGUGCUGUGAAAUUUUGUGUUAAUUACGCAUAAAGUUUGAUUCGUUAGAUUUAGUCCAAAGUAAACAAUAUGGAUACAUAGUCCACAAUCCCCCUAAAAUGGUUAUUUCUCAGAUUUUGACAGUCUUAAUUUGAAGACAAUUUGGAAGAUGAAGUUGCAGUGAAACACGCAAGCAUUGCAUUGCUUUUUUCUCUUUCUAAAACCAAUGGAAGUACAAGGAAGUGGAGGUGAAUCAAUAACAAUAAACCGUGUGCAUUGCCGAGAUUAUAUAGUUUGUGAUUAUACCAUUUUAAUACAGAGAAGCUGCAAAUACCAAAUUAAACCAACGCAGGUUUGAGGUUCCUACGUCAAGUUCAACCAUUUCAUUUCUAGUGUAAUUUCUCUAUUCAAAACAACUAUAGAAAGGUCCACUAGACAUGGCAGACGAAACAAUACCCCAAUAACAUUGUGGCAUUACGAAAGUAGCAAAGCAAAGCAUAAGAUAAAAUAAAAGCGGCAUUAUAACAAACCAAAACAGACUUGUUCUUGUUCUUAACCGAAACAUAAAAGCUAAAACCUCAAAAGUGAAAAUAACCGAACAAAACACUUAAUCUCAAAUUCCCUUUUUUUUUUAAAUUAAUUAAUUCUCAGGAAUCUCAACCUCACCCUCUUGAAUCUCCUGCUGGAUAUCCUUGGAAUCUCCUGCUGAAUAUCCUUGGGAUCUUUCCCAUCCACAGUACACCCAACAGACACACACGUCCCAAGAAUCUCCCUCACGGUCCCGCUCAGCUCCUUCGCAAUAGACCUCGGCCUCAUGAUCCUCGCGAUCUCAAUCACGUCAUCGAACGAAAUGUUCCCGUUGUGCUUAAUGUUCUUCACCUUCUUCCUGUCCCUCUCCGGCUCCUUCAAGGCCUUGAUCACCAGCGCCGCCGCCGAAGGCACCACCGUCACUUUCGCCUGGCGAUUCUGCACCGUCAGCUUCACCGUGACGCGGAGCCCCUUCCACUCCUUGGCCGUCUCCUUGGCGAUGUCUUCUCCGAUCUUUUUGGGAGCCAGACCGAGGGGACCGAUCUUGGGAGCGAGGGAACUCGCGGCUCCGACUUCUCCGCCGGUCACGCGGACGUAGACGUCCACGAUCUGGCUCGGGUCAAGCUUCGGCGGCAUGGCUGUCUCGGUGGUUAAACGGAGUUUGAUUAGUUUUUUUUUUAAGUGGAGUCCGGAGACGAGGAGGCGGUUGAAGACGAGCUCCAAAGGCUUUUAUUGAGGUCGACACUAGGGUUUACGAAAUGAUGAAUUUACUACCCUUGUAAACAUAUAUGGGCCUUAAGAGAAUGAUCUUAUGGGCUUUAUUUUAGACUAUCGGUUCUUUUACGGUUUAGUAAAUAAUAAAUCCCCGGUUUGAUAGAACCGGUUUACUUCCGUCGCCUCUUUGCUCGGUGAGAAUUGCCUAAAAUAUUUCCUCAGUUUCGGAAAGAAGUAUAUUUUAGUUACCAAUAUAAUUUUAAUAAAUAAAAUUAUGUUUUUUUACUGUUUACGAUUAAUUUAUGCAUUGAAACCGUAAAAAUGUAUUUUUCUUGAAACGGAAUUUUUUUCUAAAAUAUGGAAUUUUUUGAAACGCAUGGCUUUUAUUAUACUAAAAUAGUGAAAGUGACGUCACUUCGUUUAACCGAUAUGAUCAACAACAGAAGCAUAUAGUUUUGACAAUAUACUGGGAAACAUUUACUUUUUGGAACUUUCUGUUAUCUUAUGUGUGUUAUUUAAUUAGUGGGUGGCUAAGGACCAGAAGUUGAGAAAGAAGGAAGGGAACACAGCAAGCCAGCUGAUGAAUGCCAUUGCUGUGGCGGUCUGGAACCUUGUGCAGUGGCUGCCAUCACAUUUAUCAAGAUCGUUGAUGAGUACGGUUAUGCCAGCAGACGCAGAUGCAGCUGCAAACGUAAGUAGGCAUGUGAUCUGCAAGGGAUGAAAAUAGACAAAACAGUCACUUUGUUGCCUUCUUAGAAACUAACUUUAAACAAUAAAGAGAGAUGUUGAUUUCGUUCUUACUCCAUCUCCAACUGUGAAACAUCGAACAACCAAGUGAUUCCGAAGGCUUCUUCCCACCAGAAGAGCAUAAGCAUCGAUGAUAAAAAGAGACAAGCUCCACAGGCUUUGCAAGCUAACCGCAAAAACCAAACCACUGUCACAGUUUAUAGAUAUGUUUUGUCAGAUUCAUAUUUUUCCGUAAACCUUAGGUCUAAGAGUUGGAUUUUACUAGAAUGCGGUGAAGGAGUGGAAGUCGGGGGUGGUGAGCAUGACGGAGAGGGAGAUGAGAGAGGAGACGAACUGAGAGAGGCGGAGGAUGAGGCCGCCGGUGGUUCCUGGCAUGCCCUGAAUAUCUUUCAUCCUCACUGGCGGUCUAUCGUUGGCUCCGCCAGUAGGACCCACGGGGACAGCAAUUACCGGACGAACCGCCGGUCGGCUCACGUUCAUCAUGUGAAAGUGAGUCACUCUGAUAACACACACACAAAUGAGGAACUAACUCGACUGAGUUUGCUAAACUAAUUUCCUAAAGACAAAGACUUAUUCAACUAACUGAAUCUCUAACACAUGUAGGACUUUCGAACGUUUACCGCAAAAGUUCAAACAGACCCACCUUGUAAGACACGAAACUGCUACUUUGGCUGUCUGAAAAAUGGAAUUAGUGUGGAUUUUUUUUUUGGUCCACGAGUUAAUUAGUUAAUGUGAUGUGUUUUGACAGAAUCGACCCAAAACAUAGUAUUUAAUGUUCCUAACUUUUGAUAUCUAUUGACUUAGAGUAACCGACUUUGAAAGUUAGUAUAAAACAACUGUAGAAACUUUUAAUGUGGCUUACUAGAUUUUUGGUGCUAUUCUAAAGUAUUUAUGUUUUUAUAUUAUUUAUUUCAAAUAUGUUAGACAUAAUAUUAUAACUUAUUAGUACUAUUUUCGACAGUUUAUGUUAUUACUUUUGAAACAGAUUAUAUUUAAAUUAGUAGUAUAUAUUAAGCUAGAAAAACACUCGAAAUUUAUUUGAACACUUAAAAUAAAACUAUAUUUUUUGUUUCUUAUUCUUUUCCUGUGUUUAUUUGUGUUGUAGUAUUGAUAAUUGACUAAAUAAAUACAAACAAGAAAAUGUGAAACUUUUGUUGGUUACAGAACAGAGUUGAUGAUCUUACAGAGAAUUAAAGACAUUUAGUUUGGGGUUAAAAAGACAGUUCUAAUCAUUUACAACAAAGAACUUCCACCGAACUGGAAAUUGUUUUUACUUUACCCCAACUAAUCGGGAUCUAUUCCUUCCAUUUUUAGUAAGAUUAAUAAAAUCGUGAAAAUCUGACAUUUUCAUAUCUAUAUAUAAAAUCUUUAAAUAGUUAUCUAGAUAUAUUUAAAGUUAUCUAGAUUUUUUUUUUUUGAAAAAGUUAUCUAGAUAUAUUAGAUCUUGAUAAUAAUCAUUCUCCAGCCCUUUCCAUCUCCCAGCAGAGCUUAGACGCAACACUUUCAUGGGAAGGUGCAUAUUCCUGCAAAAUGACAACAACAACGUUUGAGAUUAUGUAGAGACCCAGAAACAAUUCAUUUUCUUCAAUUUACCUCAAGCUUCUUCACAAGCUCUUUAGCAGUAGGUUCAGAGACUAUGAUCUCACGAGCAGUCGGGCUGAUGAAUCCUUCUUCAACGGCUUUAUCGAUGAAUGAAAGCAGCGAGUUGUAGUAUCCAUCAACGUUGAGUAAACCCACCUGCAGAAAGUUUGUUUUAGUGAUUUUGGAUUCUUGAAUUUUUCCAUUUGAAGUAAGAAUAUUAGGGAGGUUUUUUUUUACAGGCUUGUCAUGAAUUCCAAGCUGAGCCCAAGUUAUGACCUCAAGCAAUUCUUCAAGUGUUCCAUAGCCUCCUACAAUUAUCGCACAAAAUUUUAGAUUUGAUUUGUCAAAAGAGAGCAGGUUAAUCUGUUACUAUGAUAUGGUCAAAUCAGUAGGUGUGUCAUGUACAAUACAAAACCAAAUAAUAGAGUCCUCUCCUCUCUGUUACUGUUUUGUACAUUGGUACUGACUAUGAUUACAAAAGCAGGAUCUUGACUUUCCAUUAAUGAUUUCAGAUUAAGUGUGGGCCAAAAAAUGCCAUUUGUGGGACUGUUUCAAGUUUUGUCUCUUAACUUGAAAAGGGCAAAGAAAAAAAGUUUGGUCAGAGUAAGACUACACAAGCUAUAGAGAGAGUACCCCCUAAGUUAAAAACAAAGCAGAGCAAUAACCAGAGUAAAAGAAAAGGAAAAAGGUAUAAUUCUAAGUGCCAGAUGUUGAUGGUUAAGGCCUUUUAUCUUACACUCUGGUGACUUUAAAUAUUUAGAUUUUUUUCAUUUCAAAGAAUAAUUAAAAAUAAAAAACUUUUCACAGCAGCUUUCACACUGCAGCUUGACCAAAACAUAAUGUUUUUUUUUGUGUAACUAAGAAAUCAUGUUUUUACCAAACUCUUUUCUUCUCUUUUUUUACAAAAUCAGUCCAGAAAAACAAACUUUUUCCUUUACAUGAACAAACCCUACUUUGAAACUUUGAUUACCCAUUCAAAUUGUUUUAAGAGGCUAUUCUUAAAAUUCUUUGCGUCACUAGGGUUUUGACAAGUUUUCGUAUGUUAUCAUUACUUACAUUGAAAGAACAGCAAAAUUUUGAGGUUUAGAAAUGUUUUUUGAGAAAGAAAACAUUUGAUUGAAAAUUUGGGUGGAUUGGGUUUAAAACAAAACCUGGUAAGGCAAUAAAAGCAUCAGAGUGCUUGGCCAUUUCAGCUUUCCUUUGGUGCAUAUCUGCAACUGCUCUUACUUCUCCUACUGUUUCACCAGUCAACUGCAAAAAACAAUGAUCAUCCACCAUUUUAAAAUAAAUAAAAGGAUGUUAAUUAAAAGUAGUUAAAGGGCAAAAGCAACUUUGGGCUCUUCUACAGGCAAACGCAAUGAUGUCACCGCAAGUAGUCGUAAUGUUUGGAUGUUUUUGAAAUCUCCUACAGAACCCUAACAUCUAGUUAACCUCUUUCUAAUCAUUUUCUUCAUAUAUCUUUUAUUCAGAUUACGGUAACCAAAUGAGGAUAUUUAUAUUUUAGGACACCUAAACUACUCGCAAUCAUGAGAUUUAAGAAAAGGUAACAAACAGGGAGAAGAGUAAAACCUAAGCAAACACCGAAGAUUAAAAUGGUUUUGAAUGGGAAUUUGGAGAACUUAAAAGAGAAAUUAAAUUAACAAAGAACAAUGUUUUAUUUUGAAAUUUUCUUCUUUGAAAAGUUCAUACCUCUCUAGGCAUGAGGGUCUUUGGAAUUAUUCUGCAGAGUGACAACAAAAGGACAAAGUUGGGUUUUAUUAGAAAUAUUCAGCAAUAUAAUCCAACACUUGUGUUCCAUCAGAAUCUCAAAAGACAGUUUUCUUUUGUAUGAUCUGAAGCUUACAAAGUUGUCAAAUAGUUUAAAGUUAUUUGACUAAGAAAAAGUUACCCAAUAACAUGACGACCACCAUUAUGAACAGCUUGUGAAACCAAACCCAUCAAGCCUAUGCUCCCACCUCCAUAGACUAGAUCAAUUUUCCUUGAGACCUGCAGAACAAAAAAAAAAACAGAGUUACACUUUUUUUUUUUUUUUUGUCACAAAAACAGAGUUACACAUUAGCCUAAACUUGAUGAUAAGUAGAGCAAAAAUCGUGUAACAAACCAGAACCAGAAUAUUCUGAAGUUAUACCAUCUGGCACGUUUCAAAGAAGAAAUAAAUGAAGCAAAGAUGCACAUCAUCUUAUCUCAAAACCAACCAGCAUAAUCAAAGACAUAAAUACGUUAAAAGUCAUGUAUGUGUUACCAGUUCGUUGCCGAGAUCUACAGCAGCAUCUUGGUAACUACUCUUCUUGCCUUGGCUGCUUCCACAGAAGACACAUAUUCUUUUGAACUUUGACUUUUGCAUCGUUUCAGCUUUGAUCUCCAUUGAAUAUGAUCCUAAACUUAUGAUAAAAUAUAAAACUUCUCCAGAAAGAGAAAAGGUAAACAAUUUUAAGGUUUCUUUCAGCACAAGAAUCUAAUUUCGCAAGACAGUUAUGAGUGACAAAGAAACCUAACUAAAUCUGAAAAAAUAAUUUAUUUUGGGAGUUGUUUUUAUCCUCACCACUAAUGUUUCCUGGCUCAAGGGUUGUUGUUAUAUAUAUAGUGCGUCAUCGAUUUAAGCUUACUUAUUUUAAAUUACAUUCUUUUUGAUGUUUACUAAAGCUAGCAGCCUAGCACAACAUUUAAUAAUACAAAUUUAGAAAAAAAAAUAGAAGGCUUUCGUUAAAAAGUUUAUUUUUUUGUUUGUUUGAAUACUUCAUUUCUGUUUUAUUCCCCAUAAAAAAAAUAUUUUUGACCAAAAUCUUAUAAAUCGUUGAUUUGAAUAUUUAAUAAAAAUCGAUAUUUUUUAGAUUUAUGUUGAGGUCUUUACACGGGAGAAAUUAAAGCACGCGUCUUUCACUACCCGCGCGGCACGCGUGACCGAAUUCUUCUUUGUGUUAAUUUUCCCUUACUAUAAAAUCACGUACAACAAUGAUAGACUAGUACCAUAAACCUUAUUUAUGGUCGUAAAUAACAAUUUUUUUUGUUACUUGAGAGGAAUUUGGAUCAAACCGUAAUCUCCGCUUAAACCUGAAACCAUGUGUCCAUGCAUUGAUAAUAGUUUAUGACAUGGCGUAGAACAUUUCUUUCCAUAUAAAUGACAAUUCUUCGUAAUGGACUUUAUGGUUAGACUCACAAUCACCCAACUAGAUAGAAAUGCCAUGUUAAUGCAGGCUAUAUCUCACAAGGAAUUAUUAUCAGUUGUGUUCUUUGUUGUUAAAGAUCAUAUAUAUCGUGUUUAGACUUCAUAACCCCCUCUUAUGAUUUCGUAAAGAAAGCUCUCAGUGAUUAAAAAAAAACUGAUUCAGUAAAGCUUCGUCAUUUUUCGUUCUUAAUCAAGAAUAGGAAAAAUAAUUAAUUUUCUAUAUAAAAAUAAGAAAAAUGGACAGCAUAUGUGGACAGUGUAAGAUGGGUACAAACGUUAUUAACUGAUACUCUUGAAAAACAAAUAGAGAAAGGGAAAAUAAAUAACCAAAAAUAACCAAGACAAAGGCCACACUAAUAUUCUAAUGGAACCAUGUAGAUGUCAUGGAUAAACCAAUGAGAUAUAUACACACUCACUUAUCUAAAGAGAUAUAUAGAAUGAAUAAGUUAAUGAGAUGAUGAUGUCUGGGAUAUGGAGCAAUGUGCCAUUGAUGAUUGACAUAAGAAAACAAAGUGAUGGCUUAUGUUACCAGUGUAGCCUAAUUCACCCUCCCUAUGUAGACAACCUUCUUCUUGUUCUUUGCAUAGAAAACGUUUCUUCUAUUUUUAUUCCCCUAUAUUCAUUUUCACCAUCCUAAGCUAUAGUAUGGAGUUGUGAUAUAAAAUUCUUUUAAUUUUUUUAGACUAUUAUUUUUGUCUUUCUCUUUCAGAAUAAAGUAAUCAUUAAAUCAUCGUUGAAUUAUUUAAAGUUAUGAAUUCAGAAACAUAUGCAAAUUAUCGCCUUGUGAAAGAAUGAAAAAUAAAAUUUCUUGUUACACUUCCCAUUUCAGGAGAACCUUUUAUAUAAUCUUGAUUUAUUGAAAAAUCAAAAAUUUAAAACCGAAAGCUGAGAGCUAAAACUAAUAAGAAAAAAAAAACACUAGUUUCGUUAAGACUCUAUCGUAACCCUAUUGACAUGUUGGCUUGGAAUACCAGGAACCUCCCCAACACUCUUAUACUUAACUGUAAGCAAACACUUACAAUAUACUUCAGAUCAUAUAUAUUUGUUUAUAACAUGUGUAUAUAGCGUAUGAGUAUUUAAAUAAGAAAAUAAAAUAAUUACAAUCCCAAGAUCUGAGUAGAUGCAACCCAUUCCUUCUAUAAACAAAUAAGUAAGUUUGUAAAAUAGUUUGUAUUAGUAUAUCUGCAUGCUUGCAUGCGCAUUUUUCUCUUGUUUUUCUUUUUCAUCUCUAGUUUCACUUCACAUUCUUCUUGGGUUUUUCACUUCCGACCCAAUUUUUAUUUUAUUAUAAUAACCAUGACGAUGGUAGUGAUACCACAAUUUAAUCAGAUAAUACUUUCAUGCAGUCCAAUUUGAAAGUGUUAAAUAUUUGAAAAUGAGCACAAGAGGUUUUAUAACUCGAAUCUUUUUAUAGUCUGUACAGAAAAAAAAAACAAAAAGACAAUUUUAAAGGUGGACGUUUGAAGAACAAAUUAUCCUUUUUACAAAAGGUUAAUAUCUGUCUCCAAUCGAUUUUGACAUGAUUUCAAAGACAUAUAGUGACAUAGCAUUAACGAACAUCUAACGGAAUCCUAAAUCACUUUAACUAAAAGAAGUUCAUAAAGAAAGAAAAAGUAUUAAGUUAGUCAUACAACUAGUUCAUUCUGUUCAUAAAGGGGUUCUAAGUAUUUAUAAAUAUCAAUUUUUCUUGGAGUGGUUCUCAACCUUUUCAAACAGGUCAACAUUUUUUACUUCCUUUUAUAAAAGGUUUUUGUUAAAUUAAGAAAAGUUCUUUCGAAAGAUGAAACUUGAAUCCUUUAUAUAUUUACUUAUCAGUUAAAGAAGUUCAUUCAUAUUAGACCCAAUACAAUUUUGUUCAUAAAGGGGUUCUAAUUAAGUAUUUAUAAUUAUCAAUUUCUAUGCAGACAUAGGAAAGGCUCCGCGCUUUCUAAUAAAUAUAUAUAUGGGUUAUUAUAUAUCCAUGCCUGACAAAAAGAAAAUGCUUAAUUUGAUUUAAUUUAAGAUUAAGGAGAUGAAGAUGAAAAAAUUAUUAACCCAUAUUAUUUUUUCAUUUAAGCUCUGGCUGUAAAAAAGCUGAACAACUUUUACCAUAUUAUUUUUUUCCGAAGUAUAUUAAAAAGAAGACAAUAUAUUUAUUCACUGUUUUAGGUUUUGUUCCAAGCUAUCACCACUAUUUUGUCAGUAGUACCAUAGAUUCAUGAUUAAAAAUGACUCAAAACCUUUCUUAAUAAAUAAAUUUUAAACCUUAAAUGAAAAACUUAAGCCAAACAUAGUAUCUCAAUAUUGUCUAUAAUUUCUUAAAAUAAAGGAUAAUAUCCUCACACAGUUUUUUGUAGUAGUGUUAAAAAGAACAGUAAUAGUAUAUUCGGAAUAAAAACCUUUUAAAUAUAGCAUCUACGGUAUUUUUUUAGCUUUUAUGAACUAUUUUAAUGAUUUAUUCUUGUUUUUGUUGUUGGUAAACAAAUAUUUUGAGAUGAUUUGUGUAUUGGAUGCAAACGGCAUAUUUAAAUUAAGGAAAUGCUAAUUGGGAGGCAGGAUAAAAUUCUUAUUAAUGUCCAUCGAAUUUUUUUUAUUAAAAAUGUUUGAAUAUGUAAUGUGCAUUGGAGUUAACUAUGACAUAUUCUUAUUACGGGUUGGUUUUGUCGUUGAAACAAACAAGAACGUUAUAUUAAGUUCAAAAAACAAACAAGAUGUUAUGGAGUCACACAACACUAUUUCGUACAGAAAUGAUACCUCUAGUUUUUAAAUGUAAUUUUUUUCCUACAAUUUUGACAUCUUUUAAAAGGAUAGUCCACGUAUGAGACUAUGUUAUGAUUGCAUGGGUAAAUACUUUAAUGUACAAGACGUGAAACUUAAUGCAAAACUAUCAAUAAAGGUCGAUAUGAUUCUUUAAACCAAAAAAAGUUCGAUAUGAUUCCGACAAUAUUUUAGAUUUAUGACUUUGAAACCCAAAAGGAACAGACAUUUACCACUUUGAACCGAAAAUAGAACCCCCAAACUUGUUUUUUUCCUCAACGGACCAACGUUAAAUCCACAAAUUAAGGAAUUGAAGAAAAGAGGAGACAAAAAAACAAGAAAGGAAAAGGGAAGAACAUGGAUUUGUAAAUGGUGAAAAGAGGGACAGUCAAAGGUCAGAGAGGGACAAAUCAUUUGUUUAGUAGUUAUCAUAAAGUGUCGGACAGUUAAUACCGUUACUUACGAGUCAAAUGUCUCUAUUACGUUUUCACUUAUCACUAGUUAGUGGUAACUUACUUAAAUUACUUUUUCAAAAAAAAAAAAACUUACUUAAAUUACCCUCCCAUCAAUCGAUUUAUAUUUUCAAAAUUUCUGUAUUGUGAAAAAGCCAUGCAUUGUUGACGCAAUUUUUUGUUGUUGUUACUUGUCAACUAUUGAUACGUACUACUAACCAUGUUAUGUAUACAAUGCAUCUUUACAUAAACCUCUUUCAGUAGACUAAAUUCACAUUCAAAUCUUUUGAGUUAAACAUGUUUAAAUUGGAAAAUAUUGAGAAAUAAUAACAAUAAAUAUUUAUUGCCCUUUUCAAAAAUAAAAAUAAAGAUUUAUGGUUUUUAGUAAUUACUUGAACUAAAUUUGUUAAAACUUACAUAUACUUACUACUUAGGCAGAUAAAUGACAACUUUUAAAACAGUUAAAGGACAACUUUACGUAUACAGCAUGUAUGUAAGGAGUUUAUGAAGACAAAAGGAGGAAAGAAUCUAACUUAUAGCAAGAAGAGUGGUGAACGUAAGAUGGAGAGAGUGAACAGUCAAAAUACAUUCAUUCAUUCCUUUGUUUUUUUUUCUCUUUUAGAAAUUAAAAUUUAUGUCGUUUGUUUUUGGGACAUUACCUACGUUCAUUUCAACUCUUUCAACCUUUCGGUCAUCUCUAUACGAAUAUACCCCCAUUUGUUUUACAUUUUUAUUUUCUUUUAAAAUUUAUGAAGUUACAUUGGCGCCUACAAUUCAAAAGAUUUAGUUUGACUGGUUUACACCAUGUGAAUCCCAUAGGAUAAAUUAUAAAUAAUUCAUAUGGUUUCUGACGUAUGCGUUAUACAUACCUAUAUUGCAUGUUAAAUAAUGCCCUUUUCUGAGAUGGUGAAUAGAUAGAUAUGUCGAAUUUUUAGUAUAUGAAGUUGAAAUUAUAAGAAAUAUCCUAAAAGUAUUUGCAUCGACAUUCAUUUGCUAAGGAAAAAGGUUAAAAAUGUCUUCAAAAAAGGGUAAUGGACGUUUAAUAUAGGAUUAAGUAGCAAAGGAGCAAACAUGGAACAUGUUCAUCUCCUAUGAAUGAGGUGAAUAAGUCAAAAAAAGAAGAAGAAUAAGUCAAAGUAGGUCUAGUUGCUGGACCGGUUCUAAGGACAACCGGAUAAAAAUCCAUCUUAAUCCCAAUUUUUUUUAAAACUAAGAACUAUUAUACGUAGACCACAUGGUCCAUAUACUAUCCAUAACUUUUUAGUAAGAUAAACCUGAUAAUGUUUGCCAAAGCUCCUUUAGAUUAAUGUUUGACAAAGUGGUCACUAAUGGUUAUACAUCAUGAAGUCUAAGUUCUGAAUCUUAUAGAAGGCAAAAUUGUGCUGGAGAUUUUUUUUAUAAAAGAUGGAGCAAAAAAUACCAUAAAACGUAGAUCUUAUAAGUCGGUUCAAAGUGAUGCAGUAAAAUGUAAAUUCUUAUAAAAAAUAGAAUCAUCAAUUAUAUAAUCGUUAUAAUAUUUUCAUGGUUUGCAAUAGCAUAGCUAUUCAACGUUAAGAAAAACCAAAUAAUGUUUUUUGGCCAUAAAUUUUCGAUCCGGCUUUGUUGCGCUGUCCACGUACAAAACUAUGGCAUAUAUAAUUCACGAGGUUUGAAAUAGUGUUCCUUUUAUUUGUUUAGUUAGUUCUCAAUAUUUUUCUUUCAAAUGAAUGACAAGAGAAAUCGUAUGAGACGAAUAUGAGAGAUAGGUUAAGAAUCAGGAUGUUUUCGUUCACAGUAUAUAUAAGAAAUUAUUAUAAGAGAUUGUAGCUUAUGGAACAACAUUAAGGGUAUGACUGGUUUCCUCGCUGCCACACGCAUGCGGUUGGUAGCGGUUAUUGGCGUUUUGCAACAAUCACUCAAACCGCUCUAAAUCGUUUCAAACCUCAUAAACUCAAAACUGGCUUCAGCUAGCGUUUGCGGUUACGGGAGGAUAAUUUUUUUCAAAACAAUAUAAACAUAAAAAUAAAAAAUUCAAUAAAAAUUUUAAAUUGGAAUUAUAAAAAUACUAAAAUAUAUCUAUUUUAUAUUUUAAUUAAUAUUAUAAAAUUUAACUUUUAAAAUAUAAUUUUUAUAUUUAUUAUAAUAUUAUAAUUUUUUAUAUUUUUAUAAUUAUAUAAAAUAUAAAUAUUGUUAAUUUAUUAUUUAACUGUUGUUGCAUCUGAUAGUUAAUCAGUCAUAAGUAUCCUGCAAAUGCACCAAUUUCUAACUAUAGAACCAGUCGUACAAAUCUCUUAAAACCGCUAGAACUGUAACCAUCCGCAUCAGCAAACUCCUGCGACCGCAACCGCAACCGAUACAUUUAAACAAGUCAGGCCCUAAGACGAUAACGUUUGUGGGCAGCAUCAUUAGCAAAGAGAACUACGUCUAUUAGCAUUAGAAACAAGUGAUGCUCUUCAUCAUCAUCAUCAUCAUAAACUACUUCCAAAGUGUUAUUACACGUAUGUGGUAUGCCGUAUAUAUAUGCAUAUACAGUUCUUUAUAGUAACCUACAUAUAUAUGUAGGUGUAGCCAUCGCAAUAUCUAGGUGUAUUGUAUAUUAGGGUAUAACAACGAACUUAGUAGAGUAGUAUGAAAUUACCUUAAACUUGGUUUAGUUUGGUUGAAACGCGUAAUUAAUAUCUUAGUAUGAAACUAAGAGUAUACACUUUAAGCAAAUAACUAGAUUUUGAUCCGCGCUUUUAAAGCGCGGAUUUAUUUUUUUAUUUUUUAAUUGACAAAUAUUUAGUAAAUGUCGUAUUUUUAUAUAUUUGUCUUUUAUUUUUAUGAAUGCUUAAAUUAUAUUAAGAAAAUAAAAAAAUAAUAAUUAAGAAUAGUUGAAAAAAAAUUAUUUUAACUUGGACUCAAUGGUCCAAAUGAAAAAAAAAAAGUGAGAAUUGAAUCUGAUUUUUUAAUAGGUCCAAAUGGCCCAAGAGAGAUUUGAUUUGGGCUGGAUCCAAAAAUAAUGAUCCAAUAUAGAUUUGUUAUUAAUAUUACUUAAUUGCCCUUAAUGAAACAUGCAAUGUUAGUGAAGAAAACAUACCCCUAAGGUAAUUAUGACAAUAGGAUCCUGCUUUAAUAAUAUAGAUUGAUUUCUCUUGAACCAACUUGCACUCAAUUUGCUCAUUCAACUGCGUAUUGUAUUUGAUUCAAAUAGAUUGCUGUGAUUUUGGUGUUUUACGUGGUUAUCAAAUGUGUUCAUACUCAUAAGCGCAGAAGAUCAGAAAGCAAUAAACAAGACAGAGAAGAUUGAAUCAAAAUAAAGCGAAGCAGUUAAUGACAGCAUUCAGACAGACAAGAACAUGGUCUUCCUUACAAAUCUUAACUCUAUAUGUUUUUCAAACAAAAGACCAUCCGUGCAUCCAAGGCACAACAACACAUAGCUUAGUACGGUCCACCGAAACUGCCAUCCUCUCACAAAAACUGCUUCAAAGCGCCUGUUACAAUUUCCUUUACUCAGAUAAAUCAGUCUAUGAAGUGGUUAAUGCCCAAAAGACCCAUCUAUAAGAACAAUAGUAUAAGUCAUACCUCUCCAGAGAAUAGGAAGCCAUAGAUUGGUGCUCAAAACUGGCGCCUUGGAGGCCUAGCCUCAGCUUCAGACACUCUAAUCUGCCUCCCGUCCAAAUCCUACAACAGGGUACAAAGUAUAAGCACAUCAAGAAUAGUUUCAUUGAUCAAACUGUCGGAAUAAAAAAGAUACUUACAGCACCAUCCAAUGUUCUGAUGGCAUUCUGAACCUCUUGAGCAGAGUUGUAAGUCACAAACCCAAAACCUUUCGACCUACCACUGUCCCUGUCGUAGAUGACUCUAGCCUCAACAACCUUCCCUUGCUCCCCGAACAAACUCUCGAGCGCCAUGUCGUCAACACCCCACGAGAGGUUACCAACAUAAACACGGUUCCCUGAACCAGCACCACCACCACCACCUCCACCAUAUCCUCCACCAGAGCUUCCAAAGCUGCUUCUAGGUCCUCUUGAGAAGGAGUCUUCCCUCUUCGGUGGAGGAGGACCCGCGUUAACUCUCAACGGUCUACCAUCCAACUCCUGCAAACAAAACCCAAUAAGAACAACAAAACAACACAAAGGUUCCAACUUUUUGUCUUUAGCAACCACAAGUUUUUGUCUUUAGCAACACAAAGGUUCCGACAUAAGGUAGAGAAGUAAGUAUGUUCUUACAUAGCCAUUGAACAACACAAAGGUUCCAACUUUUUGUCUUUAAACGCAUACUUACAUAGCCAUUGAACUGCUGUUCAGCUGUCUCAACUUCAGAAGCUGAAGACAUAGUCACAAACCCAAAACCUCUGCUUC
rnacentral:lncRNA from 1 species